UUUCUCUUCAAUACCUAUCAGUCUCAUACUGCGGAGAGUUUCGUGAAUUGCCACAAAGCUUGUACAAUCUCCAUUCUCUUAAGAGAUUAAUGAUUGCCAACUGCACCAAUUUCAGUUCUUUUCCUGUUCCCUGUGGAGAGAACUAUUUGACUAACCUCCGAAGGUUGGAUUUAUUCAAUUGUAAUGGAUUGACCAGCUUACCAAGUGGAAUUCUAGAGCAUUGUCGGUCUCUGAUAGUUUUUAAUGUCUGCAAUUGUAAGAACUUAGUUUCAUUGCCUUUACACGUGUGGGAAAUGCCUUCACUUUCCUAUUUGGAUUUAUCAGAUUGUCCCAAAUUGAUUAGUGUACCCGCAGGAGGCCUUCACUGUCUCACCGGGUUAAGGAGAUUGGAAAUUGGUCCUUUCUCAGAGAUGGUGAAUUUUGAGGCAUUCCAAUUGAUUUUUAAUGGCAUUCAGCAGUUGUUGUCCCUUCGUAGAUUGGGUGUGUGGGGACGUGGGCACUGGGAUUCUCUGCCCUAUCAGCUUAUGCAACUCUCUGCCCUAACAGAGAUCAAAAUAUGCAAUUUCGGAAUGGAGGCUCUUCCUCAUAGAUUUGACAACCUUACUUCUCUUGAAACAUUACAAGUAGAGGAGUGCGAGCGGCUAUGGCAUUUGGACUUCUCAGAUUCCAUGUCAAAAUUACGGCAUCUCAGGAUAUAUGCUUGUCCAUUGUUAGAAGCUCUGUCAGAUGGGCUCGGCAACAUUGUUUCUUUGGAAAAAUUAGUUUUACAUCACUGCCAAAAACUAAAACAUCUGCCAUCCAGAGAUGCCAUGCAACGCCUCACCAAAUUACUGUACCUGGAAAUUGGAAGCUGCCCACAGUUAGAAGAAAGUUGCACCAAUCGGAGUAGCCCAAACUCCCAGUGGUCCAACAUUUCCCAUAUUCCAGAAAUUCAAGUAGGCGGGACGAUGAUUCAGGAUACACGUAUGUCUCUGUUUCUCUUUCACUUUCUUAGUCGAUUUUUCAAAUAUUAUUUUCAUGAGUUCCACACAAAAAGCUUUGUAUGUAAUUUAAUAUUAAAAAUGCAAAAUUAAAUCAAUCAUUUGCAUAUGUGAUAUACUUUCAGCAUUCUGCUUGUCCACUUGAACGACUUGUUUUUCUUUUAAUUCUUCAAGUAUGGUAUAUCUUGAUAAUACUUAGGGUGUGUUUGGUAUGAAGGAAAAUGUUUUCCUGGAAAACAAGUUGAUUUUUGACUUAUUUUCUCAUUUUUGGUUGGUGAGUAGAAAAUAGUUUCCGAAAAAGAUUUUUAGUAUUUGAUUUAUGAAUGAUUUUUUUUUUGAGAAAUAUCUUUUAUUUUUACUAGGGUAGAAAAUAAUUUUUGAAAUUGAAAAUAUUUUUUAAAAACAAACUUAAUUUUUUUUGGGGUGGGGUGGUAGGGGUGGGUNNNNNNNNNNNNNNNNNNNNNNNNNNNNNNNNNNNNNNNNNNNNNNNNNNNNNNNNNNNNNNNNNNNNNNNNNNNNNNNNNNNNNNNNNNNNNNNNNNNNNNNNNNNNNNNNNNNNNNNNNNNNNNNNNNNNNNNNNNNNNNNNNNNNNNNNNNNNNNNNNNNNNNNNNNNNNNNNNNNNNNNNNNNNNNNNNNNNNNNNNNNNNNNNNNNNNNNNNNNNNNNNNNNNNNNNNNNNNNNNNNNNNNNNNNNNNNNNNNNNNNNNNNNNNNNNNNNNNNNNNNNNNNNNNNNNNNNNNNNNNNNNNNNNNNNNNNNGGGUUGGUUGGGGGGCUGGUUUGAGGGUAGGGACAAAAUAAAUUGAUUUUUUCAACAAUUUUUUUUUUAAUUGGAAGUUGGAAGAGAGUUUUGGAAAAUGUUUUCCUUAAGUUUUGAAGAGAAGUCAUUUUCCUUAAAUUUGAGGAAAAUGAGUUGAUUUGAAAAACAUUUUCCAAAAAUUUAACCCAAUCAAACAUGAGAAAAUUGGAAAACAUUUUCCGAAAAAUGUUUUCCUUCAUACCAAACACACCCUUAAUCAUGAAAUUUAUGUUUUUUUUUUCCUUCUAGGUUACUAGUUCCAAGGUCAUGCUAGAACAUCGAUGUGGUAAAUUAAGCCAAAUCCCAUGAGCAGCAGGCAAUUACGUUAGGUAAAUUUUCAUUUACAAUUUAUAGGCACUUUGUAAUCUACUAAUUUCUAUCCUUCUUUUUGUUGGGAACUGAUUUUCGGAGGUCUGUGCUGAUGAAUACAACACUACCUUCCUAAAAAAAAAAAAAAAAGAAGUUUAAUCAAGAAAAUUUAUGUUGCUGCUCAUAGGUUACUAGGUACAAGGUCAUGGUAGAACUUCCUUGUGGUAUAUCAAGUCAAAAUCCACGGGCAGUAAUCACAUUAGGUAUUUUUAUUUAGUUGUUAAAGGACUGCUAUAAAAAGUCUGUCAAGUUCUUUUUUGCAUUCCUUUUCUCUCACGAAACAAUUUUACUGUUUAAACGGGGUUUGUUAUGUUUCAUAGAGGCUCAUGGGGUACAAACGGCUACAAAUUACUGUACCUGGAAACUGAAGGCUGCCCAGAGUUAGAAGAAAGUUGCACCAAUCGGAGUAGCUCAAACUCCCACUAGUCCAACAUUUCCCGUGUUCCAAAUAUUGAAGUAGAUGGGAGGAAAAUUCAGAACUUAUGUAAGUCUCUGUUUCUUCUUCUAAUUUUUAAAUUUUCAUAUCUUGAUAUGAAAAUUUAUGUGUUUUUUUAUAGGUUACUAGUUCCACGGUCAUGCUAGAACGUCUCUGUGGUAAAUUAAGCCUCAUCCCAUGAGCGGCAGGCAAUUAUGUCAGAUAAAUUUUCAUAUAGGAUUUAUAGGCACUUUGUAAUCUUCUAAAUUUUGUGUCUUCCUUUUUGUUGGGAACAAAUUUUUGGAGGUCUAUGCUGAUGAAUACAACAUGAAAAUUUAUGUUGAUGCUCAUACAUUACUAGGUACAAGGUCAUGGAAGAACUUCAUUGUGGUUUAUCAAGUCAAAAUCCAUGGGCAGCAAUCACAUUAGGUAUCUUUAUUAGUUGUUAGAGGAAUGCUAUAACAAGUUUGUCAGCUUCAUUCCUUUUCUCUCAUGAUACAUUUUUACUGUUUAACCAGGUUUGUUAUGUUUCACAGAGGAACCACCACUUUUAUUUUGUUUGAAGAACAGAAUCUUCAGCUGUAGACUCAUUACGAAACACUUUCAUGAGUAUUUGGGUACUGAACAUCUUUUCGGGAAACUGUAGUCUACAUAUGAAACAUCAAAAAACUCAAAGCAUAUAGGGUGCUCAAUGUGAAGCUACACACGUCUAUCCUCUGUCUUUGCAUGAACCUAUUUGCCUUUUUAUUCUCCAUGUAAGUUUCUGCAAUUUUAUUUGACGAAUAAAGUCUGAUAUCUACUUUCAUAGGGACUUUGUAUUUAACUUUCUAUGAAAUUGUGAACUGUUAGAAUGUAACCUGUUUUAUUCCCUUUUACUUUCAAUGAUUUACUAUCUCACAGUAUUAAUGUCUGUGCCUCCCCUCUCCCAUCCGGUACGAAAUAAGAAGAAUCUUAGUAUUUGUCAUAUCUAGUCAGGUGAUAUGAUGAAGAUAAUGGAAGUAAUGGAUGGUCGGUGUGUUAUGAAUGGGCCUAGACCAGUAUUGACAAAGCAGCCCAAAGCCGAAUUAAAAGGGCUAUGUGUGGGAUCCGGGUUGAUAAAUAGAGACUUGGGAGAGCAAAAUAGUUUUAUGCAAAUUAUGUGAAGCUUUGGCUUUCUGAUCCUCUCAUCUCCUUUCUAUGGUCUAGAAUCUCAUCCCCUUCUAGUUACCCUCUUCUAUGUUAUCUAUCUAUAAUUAGUGUGUUGUUACUUUGUUGUGGGUAUUAUACAUUGUAACUUGUAUUCCGUAAUAACAAUAUAUAUAUCAGUGUUUGUGUUGAAAAUUGAGUUUGUUACAUUGGUGCUUUCAUCCAGAGGUUUCUCAUGGAGGACCAAAGACUCAAGGCUCUCAUCAAUGAAUCCAUUAAGGAGGCAAAAGAGUCAUUUUCCAAAGAUAUUGCAGACAUUCGCCAUAUGUUACAGGAGGUUACCCGAAAGUUCGUUCCGGCAGGGCCUCACAUUCGAGAUCCAACAAUGGAGGUUGCUCGUCCUCAUCACGGGAAAGGCACUCUUGAAUCCCCCACACUCCGUCAUAGGCCAGCUCCGGUGGAACUAGGACGAUUUCGUGGUGAAAAUCCAGAGGCGUGGAUUUUCCAAGCUGAAUGCUAUUUUGAUUUUUACGGAAUCGUAGAAACGCACAAGCUAACCUUGGCAUCCUUUUAUCUCAACGGUGAAGCUUUGGAAUGGUAUCAAUGGUUGUUUUGCAACAAACAACUGGCUGGCUGGGACCAUUUUGUGGACAAAUUGCUGAUUCGUUUUCGCUCCCGUACUAGGGACAAACAACGCGAGUUCUUACCCAUUCCCAGAAACAAGAAUCAUAGGGCAGUGGAGUACUCUCAGGCGGUUAGUCCAUCGUUGGUUAAUAUUGAGACUUUGGGUCCCAUGUUGGACUCCAAAUAUGACUUGAAGAACAACCCAAACGGCUAUGCCUGCAAGGUGUUCGCUGAAAUGCCCGAUAAGAAAAUUGACAUGGAAGUUGAACAUCCAGUGAUAACUGAUUCAACAAAUCUGGCAUCCCAUAUGUUUGAUGAAAAUUUUCAAACAGUUUCUGCAUUUUAAGGGAGAGUACGGUGAGCUUAUCAUGUUUGAUAAUAAUUGUCUUGCACUACCUUGUUUGCCUUCGAUUUUUAGUCGCACCCAACUUAUGGGAAGAUCUAUAUUUGAUUACUUCAAGGAAUUCGGUCAUGCUAACCUCCCAUUAUCGUUGUAUCAAUUUCCACUUGAUCAUUUCGGGUUCAGCUUUCCAUUUGAUCCUGGUUCUAGUUUGAAAGUUGGAGUCGCGCUGUGAUAAUUUGGAGCAAUGUACUGCUCAUCGGUAAAGUUGCAAGAGAACUGCCUACACCUGCUUCUAACUUGCUGAUGUUAGUAUGUAUAGCUUCCUUAAUAGCUCCAAUGAGAAUCCUCACAAUGAUAUCAAAUUGGUACUACUUGAACCUUGAGGACAAGGUUCUUAUUGGGGCUGAAGGUAUUGUUAUGAAUGGGCCUAGACCAGUAUUGACAAAGCAGCCCAAAGCCGAAUUAAAAGGGCUAUGUGUGGGAUCCGGGUUGAUAAAUAGAGACUUGGGAGAGCAAAAUAGUUUUAUGCAAAUUAUGUGAAGCUUUGGCUUUCUGAUCCUCUCAUCUCCUUUCUAUGGUCUAGAAUCUCAUCCCCUUCUAGUUACCCUCUUCUAUGUUAUCUAUCUAUAAUUAGUGUGUUGUUACUUUGUUGUGGGUAUUAUACAUUGUAACUUGUAUUCCGUAAUAACAAUAUAUAUAUCAGUGUUUGUGUUGAAAAUUGAGUUUGUUACACGGUGCCAUUGAAAUCUGCUUAAUGCUUAUGAGGUAUUCAUGAGCCGGUGACUGUGGUUGCAUCUUGCACGAAGCUUGAAAGUUCAAGGUAAGUUUUUUAGAUCAAUACUUUUUUCUCCCAAAUGCUACUUUUGAAUCAUCAUACUUAUCUAUGGAACAAUGUCAAGUCUUAUAUAUGGUAGAAAUCUAUAUAAGUUUCUUAAUAGACUCAUAAAAAACUAUCUUUAUUUUCAUGCUUUAUCAGUAGAAACUUUAUGGAUAUUUGACACACUUCUCGUUACUUUCACUUCACAGGAUAAUUUCUCCGUUGAUAUUGGAAAGUGAAUUGGAAAUAUUAUUUCCCUGUAUGUGGAAGAUCCGAAAAGGAUUCAUGAAUGAUUAAGUUUGUUGCACAUGAAUCAUGAUAAUCAGUAGAGGCUUUUUGCGUAUGUUGAAUUAAUCAUUAAAGGUCACAGACAUGAAUAAGAUUUGCGAAAAUGCAGUCUAGGAAAUGAAGUUUUUACUCAUGUUAGAUUUAAGCAGUAUAUCUUAUGAAAGAUUGAGUAUUAUUUAUUUGUCUUUUCCACUGUAUCACAAAGAAAAGAGAGGUUAAGUGAUCGAAUAACCCUUUUAUAAUUAAUGAUAAUUAUAUUAUUUUAAAUAAAAAAUUUGAUCCAAUAAAUAUUUUAUCUAAUUUUCUCAAAAAAAAAAAAAAAGAGUCCAGUGGAAUACUUGUCUUUGAUAGAAUGUGACACAUUAGGAAAUCCAGCCAAACUUGGUCAAAAUUGUGUAUUAUUGCCGGAAAACAGAACUGAAAAAUAGUAUUUUCUCCGUCCUUGAUUUAUACAUUGUCGUGUUUUAUAAUUUUUUUGAAAUAACAUAAAGAUUUCAUGUCUAAAUUUAUAGUUAAAAUAAAAAUAUUUGAUUCUCAAAAUUCAAAUAACGAGAAAGAGGGAGUACUAAGAAAAACAUGUCCACAGAACAAUGUGUUUGAUUCCUUCAAAUAAGUACUACUAUUCCUUCAUGGGAUUUUUUUUAAAGUUCGAAAUAAAAAGAAUUUACUAAAUUUAGACAAGUCAUUGAAUAAUAAAUGAGCGGGACAUUAACUAAAGAUUUCUUUAAUUAAGAUGAGUUAAACAAUUAGCCUUAGUCCACCUCGCAUUAAACUCUUACCAACUUUUUAUGGUUGUUUGCUUUCUUAGUGAUUGUCUUUAUCAAAUAAAAGUAUAAAAUCGGUUUAAUUUUUUUUUAUCACGACUAUCCAUAGCAUAUGAAGUAAAAAAAUAAUAAUUUAAAAAUCAAUAAUAUUUCUUAUUAAUUUGGGUACCAUAUUUCAAUAAUGUUUUGACUAAGCAUAUUUAAUAUUAAAAAAUAAAGGAAAGAGAGAGGGGGAGAAAUGAUAAGUACCUGAAACUGAAGAUGGCAGAGAAGAAGACUCAAUAAAUUGUGAACAUUUUCACCGAAUGAAAUAGGAAAAAAGACUUAUUUAUAAUAAGAUGUUAGGAGCAGUAAAAAAACCUCUCUCUAUUAUAAGAUGUUAGAAUUGGUAGAAAAGAUUCAAUUUAUUAUGAGAUGUUUUUACUUUUUCAAACAAAAAAUAAUAGAAAUUUUACUAUUUAAUAUUUAAUAAAUUGGACUAAGAGUUGUUAAAUUAAAAUUAGUAUAUGUAAAAUAUUGAUUUGAAUCAUUUUAGAUUGUAAUAUUUUAUCUGAGCAAAUUAAAAAUAUUACAUUUUAAAAGUCCAAUUAGUGUAUUGUUCCUUAAUUAAAUCUAUCCCCCCCCCCCGUCCCUCCUUACCCCGCUUCCCCUUCCCUUUCUCCAUCCCCAUAAUUAAUUCUAUAUGAACAUAGAUAAUAAAUAUCAUAAUGAAUAUCAAAUAAUUUUAAUGUUUCAUAUAUAUUUCUCUUUAUUACAUUAUUUGUUGUUUAAAAUUAUAGUAUCAGUAUUGAUUUUUAUUAACUUAUCAUUUGACUUAAUAUAAUUAUCAAGCGCUCUUCUUGUAGAUAUUAAACAAAUCUGUUUAUUUUUUUUACUUGUGAGUUUUAAAUUUUAUUGUUCACAUUCCUUUAAUUCAAUAUUUAUGGAUAAUAAUAUGUAUAUUAUCUAACUAAUUUAUUAUACUCUCAAAAGUAGUUCAAAAUAUUUUUCACACACAUUUUUCGCUAACAUUAUAUAUUAGCUUUAUGCCUUUAUCUUAAAACUGUCAAGUGGCUUUUAGCUUGCCACUUGACUUAACCACAUUGCAAACUACUUUGUUAUAUGUAAAUAUAUAUAUAGAUCUAGAUGAUAAUUGUGCGCUUAAUGAUUUAUACAAACAUUCAAAGAGACUGAAACGUUGCCAGAUUAAAAAAUUAGGAAAAACUACAAAAUAUAGCAAACAUCAAUUUAUAUUAUAUGUAUAUAGCUACAAUUUAUUUUUUUAACCUAUAUGGAUAUACUUACAUAUUAAUUAGCAAACUUAAUUAACCAUGAAUUGUAAGCUUUUUUUUAAAAAAAAAUUAUAUGUAUUUAAAUAAUUAUUACUAAAUAGGAAAGAUAUCACUACAUAAAUGCAAUAUAUACGUUUUAUGGUGCUAUGUUGUCCAUACUUACCUUAUUCAACAUUUUUCUCUUUCAAUAUACAUGUAUCAACGCUUUUUUUAUUAUUUUUCCUCUAAUUUCCUUCUAAUUCAAGAUCCUUUGCAUGAUUGUAUGAACGAUUUUUGUGAUUCAUCUUCGUUGGGUAUAUUCUAAUUAAUUGCAUUUUUUUCUCCUUUAUAUGAAGUUUAUAUUUAUACACAUAUAUAUGUUUCUCGAUUUUCGUAGGGUUUUAUUUUAAGAAGUUAUUUUCACCAGCAUUCAAAUAUACAAUUAAAUUCUGUUAAAAUUCACUUUGAUACAAAUGAUGUAAUACAUUUCGUUCUCUUGAUACACGCAUAUAAUUGUAUUUGAAUGUUGAACACAAUGGAAUACAUAUACAUUUGAAUACUUGUUAUUUUUUAUGAAUUGUCCAAUUAAAAUACAAGUGCAUUUGGAUACAUAAAUACAUUACAUAAAUUUGAAUGUAUACAUAUACAACACAUCUAUUUUUUUAUUGAGUGAAAUACAUAUACAUUUGGAUAAUUAUAUUGUAGUAUAGUUCUUUGACAUUUUUUCUAGAUUGUCCAAUUAUAUUGAUAUAUUAACACAAUUGUAUUGAGCAAUCUUAGGGAUACAAUAUACUUAUCAUGAAGUUCACGUAUUUGAAAUCGAAACAAACAAGAUUCAUUCACUAUUACAAUAAAUCAAUUUAACUAAAGAAAUUUAUGUGAAAUAUAUUUAUGCUUGAACAAGAACAACAUCAAGAAAGAAAAUAUGUGUACGAUGUAUCCAAAUUUUUUUAAAACUAAUUGGAAUCCUAGAGUAUAUGCAUUGACUAGGUAAUCAAAUAUGUGAAUAAAUUGUAUUCUCUUGAUUACACACAUAUAAUUGUAUUUGAAUGUUGAACAUAGUGGAAUACAUAUACAUUUGAAUACUUGUUAUUUUUUCAUGGAUUGUCCAAUUAGAAAUACAAGUGCAUUAGGAUACAUAAAUACAUUACAUAGAUUUGAAUGUAUACGUAUACAACACAUAUUUUUUUUUUUGCAUAGAGUGAAAUACAUAUACAUUUGGCUAAUCAUAUUUGUAUUAUAGUUCAUUGUCAUUUUUUUUCUAGAUUGUCCAAUUGUAUUGAUAUAUCAACACAAUUGUAUUGAGCAAUCUUAGGGAUACAAUUAUGCUUAUUGUGUAUUUGAAACCAAAACAAACAAGAUUCAUUCACAAUUACAAUAAAUCAAUUUAACUAAAGAAAAUGUAAGUGAAAUACCUUUACGCUUGAACAAGAACAAUAGCGACAAAUGAAAAAUUUGUAUACGAUGUAUCCAAUUUUUUUAAAAAAGUAAUUGGAAUCCGAGAGUAUACACAUUGACUAUGUAAUCAUUAGUUGUUAAUGUAAUAAUGGGAAGUUGAGAAUUUCAAGCAACAUAAUUAAAGGGAUUCAGUUACCUUAUUUAAUUCACUAUAAUUCUAAUUAUAUCACUGUAUAAUUUAAAAAAAAAAAACAAAUACAGCUAGAUAUUAAUAUAAAAUGUAGUUAUUUUUAGUAAAUGAUAUACUUAUAACUAUUGAACUUCAAUAACCCUAUAAAUAUAGUCAUUUAUGUAAGUUGCUCUUAAAAUUAACUGGUCUAUUAGUUAAAUGAAGGUUUUAUAUGAAUAAUUUAAUGGGCAAAUUACAGAAAUCACAUACUUUUAAGGCAAAAUUAUAAUUUAUUCCUUAAAAGUUUAUAAUUACAGAAAUCCUUCAAACGGAUACAAUAAUAUAAGCGCUGAUACAUUAAUCUGAUGCGCGAGAUACAUUAAUCGUUAAGUAAGAUACAUUACAUUUUAUACAUGAUACACUAAUCUAAUGCGCGAGAUACGAUAAUAUAAACGCUGAUACAUUAAUCUGAUGCGCGAGAUACACUAAUCUGAUGUGCGAAAAUAAGGAAUUUUGGAGAUUUGUAAAACUUAUAGGGGAUAAUGAUAAUAAGUAAACUAAAAGUUGAAUUUUCUGUAAUUUUCCCUAAUUUAAUUGAUUCAGUUGGCAAGCUAAUAUACUUUGCAAGGGGUGGAAUAGAAGAAUUUAAAUUGAGGAGUACUCCCUCCGUUCCACAAAGAAUGACCUCCUUUCCUUUUUAGUCAGUUUCAAAAAGAAUGACCUCUUUCCUUUUUUGGUAACAUUUUACUUUUUGCUUUCCGCAUGACAUGUUUAAAACCACAAGAUUCAGGGCAAUUUUGUACAUUUGACAUAACUUUAAUUUAGGACCACAAGAUUCAAAAGUCUUCUUUAUUUACUUAAACUCCGUGCCAAGUCAAACCAGGUCAUUCUUUAUGAACGGAGGGAGUAAUAGAGAAAAUCAUAUGAAUCAGAAGACCAUGAAGCUGCCACUUUUUGCUCUGCUCGAACUCAAAACUUUAGGGUCGAUGGUGAGGGAUGCUUACAAAAUGACUGUGAGAUGAAUGAUGAGUUGAAGGGUGUAUUUGGUAUGAAGGAAAAUGUUUUCCAAUUUUCUCAUGUUUGGUUGGGUUAAAUGUUUUGGAAAAUGUUUUCCAAAUCAACUCAUUUUCCUCAAAUUUAAAGAAAAUGACUUUCCUUCAAAACUUAAGGAAAACAUUUUCCAAAACUCUCUUCCAACUUCCAAUUAAAAAAAAUUGUUGAAAAAAUCAAUUUAUUUUGUCUCUACACUCAAACCAACCCCCCAACCACCCCCCCCNNNNNNNNNNNNNNNNNNNNNNNNNNNNNNNNNNNNNNNNNNNNNNNNNNNNNNNNNNNNNNNNNNNNNNNNNNNNNNNNNNNNNNNNNNNNNNNNNNNNNNNNNNNNNNNNNNNNNNNNNNNNNNNNNNNNNNNNNNNNNNNNNNNNNNNNNNNNNNNNNNNNNNNNNNNNNNNNNNNNNNNNNNNNNNNNNNNNNNNNNNNNNNNNNNNNNNNNNNNNNNNNNNNNNNNNNNNNNNNNNNNNNNNNNNNNNNNNNNNNNNNNNNNNNNNNNNNNNNNNNNNNNNNNNNNNNNNNNNNNNNNNNNNNNNNNNNNNNNNNNNNNNNNNNNNNNNNNNNNNNNNNNNNNNNNNNNNNNNNNNNNNNNNNNNNNNNNNNNNNNNNNNNNNNNNNNNNNNNNNNNNNNNNNNNNNNNNNNNNNNNNNNNNNNNNNNNNNNNNNNNNNNNNNNNNNNNNNNNNNNNNNNNNNNNNNNNNNNNNNNNNNNNNNNNNNNNNNNNNNNNNNNNNNNNNNNNNNNNNNNNNNNNNNNNNNNNNNNNNNNNNNNNNNNNNNNNNNNNNNNNNNNNNNNNNNNNNNNNNNNNNNNNNNNNNNNNNACCCACGCCCUACCAGCCCCCCACCCCCCAAAAAAAAUUUAAGUUUUUUUUAAAAAAAUAUUUUUAACUUCAAAAUUUUAAUUUUUCACCCCUACCUUUGACCCCCACUCCCUACCAGCCCCCACCCCAAAAAAAAUUAAGUUUGUUUUUAAAAAAUAUUUUCAAUUUCAAAAAUCAUUUCUACUCUAGUAAAAUAAAAGAAUUUUUUCAAAACAUUUUUCAUUCAUAAAUCAAACACAAAAAAUCUUUUUCGAAAAAUAUUUUCUACUCACCAAUCAAACAUGAGAAAAUAAGUUAAAAAUCAACUUGUUUUCCAAGAAAACAUUUUCCUUCGUACCAAACACACCCGAAAUUGCAGAAAUUCUACAAUUUGCAAUUUUUUAGUAAUGAGAUGCUUCCCAUUGAUGGUAUUCUGCAGCUGGGAUUCUGUGCCCUAACAAUAAUUGAUUUUGGAUUCCAUGCUCUUCCUCAUACUCUUGCCAAUCUGGAAUUCUUACAUGUUAUGCCCAAAUUGCUGUGUCAUUCCAGUUGGGCAUUCAGUUUUGGACCGGUAUUAUUUUCCCUCUCCCAAUUCUCUUUCUCUCUCAUUCUCUAACCCUAGCUAAUUCUGCCAUUUAUGGAGUUGUACUAUUUCCCUAUCAUUCUAAGGCAUUGCAAUUUGAAUUUCGCACCCAAACACAUUUGUGAUUUCAGCUCUCCAGAUCAUAUGGAUUUUGUGCAAAACAGAUAAUGCAGUUUGAGAUAUUGAGCAUUUUACUUAGCAAUUGGUACAACAAGAGCCUUAAUACUGCUUAUAGAAGAGCCCUAAAAUGCUUUUUUCUUUUUGGAGGAAGUUUGGCUAAGUUUAUAACCUGGUUAAAUUGGCUUUAUUUUGACAAAGUUUUAUUAUUUUAUCCUUUUUUUAAUUCUCCGAAAAUCUUUACUAAAACAAAACGCCUUCAAAGUUACAGGAUUGUUUCUUAGAGAGAUAUUUGUGUCAUUGGAGUACUGAAUGCCACUCAUUUUUUUUUGAAUUAUUGUAUAUGAAUUUUAGUGGUCCAUAAACAACUAGCAAAAGAAGACUUUGGUGCAAAGGAAGAAGACAAAUUUGAGAAGGAGCAAACGCAACAAUUGCCGACCCUGUAAUUGGUGCUACUGUUCAGGUUGUGCUUGAGAAACUGCUUUCUCUCACCAUUGAGGAGGCCAGAAGUUUAAGGAACUGCAAGAAAAAUCUCAGAAUGCUGACAAAAUAUGUAUCCAUCGAUGCACAGGCUGUGGAACAAUGGCUCAAGAUGCUUGAGAGAAUUGCUUAAGAUGCUGAAAAUGUGUUUGACAAAUUCACAUAUGAAUCUCUCAAAGCACAAGUGAUGAGCAUCCAAAACAGCCCAAUGAGAAAGGUCAGUGGUUUCUUUUCUCAUACUGCUUUUAAGAGCAAAAUGACUCGAAAAAUAAAAAAACAUCAAUGAAGAGUUGACGUCUAUCAAUCAGUUAGCCAAAGACCUUGGUCUCCAAUCACUGAUAGUUCCGUCUCAGAAAAUAUUACCUAUUUGAGAAAUAGAUUCCUUAGUAGUUGCUUCGGAUGUCGUAGAGAUAACGAUGUUGCUGAAAUUAAGGAGAAGAUGUUGAACAUGAGAAAGGAAGUUGUUCUGUGCACCAUUCCCAUAGUGGGCAUGGGAGGUUUAGGGAAAACUAGUAUUUGCUAAGAGAAUUUUCAAUGAUGAAGAGAUAGAAAAACACUUUGAAAAGAGAGUUCGGAUGGGUCUACCUGAAAUGUCAGAGACUAAGAGCUUUCUUGAAUAGAUCCCCGAAACAUUGACAGAGAGGAAACUUGAGGUCUCUUGGUAUCACUUUUCUUCAGCCUCACAAGUUCCAACUGGAUUAUGCCAGAACAUAUACCAGAUCUUCUAAGUUGUUGGAUCAGGAGAGGGGUAGCAAGUCCCAGAAAAGAUGGCGGAGAGCAAUUCCUUUGUGUAUUUGGUGAACAAUAUGGAAGAAAAGAAAAGGGAGGUGUUUUGAGGGCAGGUCUAAUACUCUGCAAAAGAUUAAAUGGAAUUGCAUCGUAGAUUUUCACUUUUGGUGUAAACUAGCAAAUGUAGAAUAUGUUCAAUCGGUAGAUUUUUUAGGCUCUUUGUAAUUAGCCUUAGUUAAUAGUUAUAACUCGUUGUUGAUAACUUUUUGGAGGUCUCCAGCAUAUCCUUAAUGCUGAGGAAUACAAAUUACCAGUUUUCAAAAAAAUUGAUGAUAGGAGUGUUUAUUGCAUUCUCGUGAUUCUGAUUAAAUUCCACCUAGUUUCCCCCUUUCUUUUGUUGUAUUAAUGUCUGACCCUUCCUCUCUUCCAACCUGUACUAAAGAAGAAGAAACUCAAUAGUUGUUAUAUCUAUUCAGGUUGUAUCGUGAAGAUAAUAAAGGGUAUACAUGGGAGGUGCCCUUUUUCGAAUUCUGUUCAUGAGUUGCAGCUCAAAUAAAUUCUCACUGAUUAUUUUUAUGAAUUCAGUGGUGUUUUAAAUUUUUCAUAAGCAUCCCCUUUUCAUCUUUGGUGGUAACUAUUUUUGUUCACUAGCUUGAUGAAGGAUCUAAGGUGAUAGUUGGUGAAAAUGUAUUAUUCACUUGCUGUAAUAACAUGAUUUCUAAUCUCGGGGUGCUGGAACAUACAUGUUUCAAAUCGAUGAUGAGCAUGUUAUAGAUGCCACAAGGGCUGGAAGCAUUGCACAUUCAAUCAAUUGUUUUUUGAAGAACGUAAAAUCCUUCUUACCUAGUCCCUUUUCCUUUGAUGGUUUUUUUCUCUUUGGGUAAAUUGUUGUUUCCACAAUAGCACCUGCAUUACAUGAACAAAGAUGAUGUGAGGCUCAUUCUCUUGGGGUAAUGUGCUGUUUUGCGCCUGAAAACAGACUUGUGGAACUGGUCUUGUUGUUUGGAAUGGAAACUCAUCAGGCUUGUGUCUACGAGGACUGAGGAACUUGAUUUCUUAAGCAUUAUUCAAAAUCAUAAUGGAAAGUUUGCCGAAUUUUUUAGUAAUUUGGUAAUGUUUUCCUUUGUUGGUUCUAAACUGCCUUUUUUUCAACAAACAACUUCACUAUGUUAAUACAUAAUAGGUCUCAGACAAUAACAUGUAUUAGCAGGUAAUCAGAUUUAACUUUUUCAGAUUAACAUAACCCUCAUACUAUAAUUCUAUUCAGAGCGUCAGUAAUGAGAAGGGAAAUAGAUAAAUUAGCUAAACAGUUCUAAACUGCCCAAUAUAUGUCAACUAUUAAUUGGAAAGUGACUGCCAUUCAUUAGAAAUAAAAACAACACAGAACCACCACCCAAAAAUAUUUAUUUAAAGGAUGAUUAGCUAUUAUUCCACAAAAGAAUUCUUUAUUCAAAUUAUUGUCUAUGAAUUAUUCUCUUUCUUGUAGAGGCUGGCAAACAACUAUCAAAAGAAUACUUCUGCAAGAAAUUUGAGAAGAUUUUGGUGUAUAGAGGAAGAAAACAACUUUGUAAAGAGCAUUGCAAUGAUGGCCGAUCUUGUAAUUGGUGCUACUGUUAAAGUUGUGCUUGAUAAACUGCUUUCUCUCACUAUUGAGGAGGCUAAAAUUUUAAGGAACUACAAGAAAAAUCACAGAAUGCUGACAAAAUAUGUAUCCAUGAUCAAGAUCUCAUUCAUGAUGCUGAAAAACGACAAGUUGAUGAUCAGGCUGUUGAACAAUGGCUCAAGAUGCUUGAGAGAGCUGCUGAAGAUGCUGAAAACGUGUUUGAUGAAUUCAGAUAUGAAUCUCUCAAAGCACAUGUGAUGAACAUCCGAACCAAACUAAUGGAAAAGGUCAGCAACUUCUUUUCUCAUACUGCUUAUAAGUACAAAAUGUCUCGAAAAAUCAACAACAUCAAUGAAGAGUUGAGGGCUAUCAAUCAGUUAGCCAAUGACCUUGGUCUCAAAUCACUGAUGGUUCCUUCUCGGAAAAUACUUCCGAUUCGAGAAACAGAUUCCGUAGUUGUUGCUUCGGAUGUUGUUGGUAGAGACAAAGAUGUUGCUGAAAUAAAAGAGAAGAUUUUGAACAUGAGAAAUGAUGUUGUUCUGUGCACCAUUCCCAUAGUGGGUAUGGGGGGUUUAGGGAAAACAACUGUGGCUAAGAGAAUUUUCAAUGACCAACACAUCAAGCAGCAGUUCGAAAAGAGAGUUUGGUUGUGCCUACCUGAAAUGUCAGAAACUAAGAGCUUUCUUGAAUUGAUCCUCGAAUCACUGACAAAGAGGAAAGGUGAGGUCCAAAGCAGAGAUAUAAUAGUCAAGACGCUACAAGAUGCACUGGGACAAAAAAAGUAUUUGCUUGUCCUGGAUGAUUUGUGGUGUGUUGACUCUACAUCGUGGCAUGAGUUCAUGGACACCUUGAAAGGAAUCAAUACAUCCAGAGGAAUCUGCAUUCUCGUGACUACUCGUAUCAAACAAGUGGCAUCCACAAUAGCAGUAGAUCUUCAUAUGUUGGGGAAAUUAACAGACUAUCAUUGUUGGUCCAUUUUCAAACAAAGAGCGUUUGUUGGUGGGGAAGUUCUGGAGGAAAUACUGAGCAUGGAAAACAAGAUUGUUGAAAUGUGUCAAGGUCUACCGUUGGCUGCAAGUGUGUUGGGAGGCCUCUUAUUCAACAAGGAUAAACAUGACUGGCAAGCAAUUCUUGAUGGCAACCCCCUUGUUGUAGGGGAAGAUGAUCUUCGGGAAAAUAGCAUAAAGAAGAUCCUAAAACUAAGCUAUGAUUAUCUAUCAUCUCCACAUCUGAAGAAAUGUUUUGGUUACUUUGCAAUGUUUCCAAAAGAUUUUGAGUUUGAGAAGGACCAACUAAUCCAACUCUGGAUGGCUGAAGGGUUUCUUUGUCCAUGUCAAGAGACCACUGUGAUGGAAGACGUCGGGAACAAGUUUUUCCAACUCUUGUUGCAAUAUUCUUUGUCGCAAGAUGUUAAGCUAGAUGAGCUCAACAAUAUAACACUGUAAGAUGCAUGAUCUUGUGCAUGAUUUGGCUGGAGAUAUUUUAAAGUCUAAACUAUUUGAUCAAAAAAGUGUAGGAGGAGAAAAUCUUUCUCAAGUCCAAUACUUUGGAUGGGACUCACCAAGUGAUAAAAUAGAUAAGAUAAACAAGUCAGGACAUUUGUGCACAUUUUUCUGGAAAAGAAAUAUAUCUGAAGAUAUGUUGUUGAGCUUUCAGUUCUUGAGAGUUAUAAAUUUGUCCAGGUCAGGCAUUGAGGUAUUGUCAGCCAAAAUCGGCAAGCUAAUAUACUUGAGAUAUCUUGAUCUCUCCAGCACUGAGGUCAAAGACUUGCCCAACUCCGUUUGCAAGCUCUACAAUUUGCAAACAUUUAGAGCCAAUGGUUGUUCUUCACCGAGGAAGCUCCCAGAAGAAAUAGCAAAUAUGAUAAGUUUGAGACACAUACAUUACCAAUCUGAAAUUGAUUAUCAGUUUCAGAUGCCACUUAAUAUGGGGCAAUUGAUCAGUCUUCAGACGCUACAAUUUUUCUAUGUAGGUGUAGAGAAAGGUCGUCAAAUAGAAGAAUUAGGUCGUUUGAAAAACCUUAGAGGUGAAUUGACAAUCAAACGUCUACAAUUAGUCGGCAAUAAAGAAGAGGCUCAAACUGCAUAUUUACUGGAGAAACCAAAUAUCUACAAGCUGGUGUAUUUAUGGUCCCAUGAUGAAUCAGAAGGCUGUGAGAUCAAUGAUGAGCAUGUGUUGGAUGGUCUUCAACCACAUCCUAACUUGAAAACCUUUGUAGUGGAGAACUAUUGGGGGACUAUAUUUCCUCUUGGUUCAAUGAAGAAUUGAUGCCAAAUUUGGUCAUGUUGAAAUUAAGUGGUUGCAAGAGGUGCAAAGAUAAUCUAUCGCUUGGUCAACUGAAGUUCCUUCGGCAUCUUGAGCUGAUAGGAUUCCUUGAAUUGGAAUGCAUUGGACCUACAUUUUAUGGUGUUGAUAAUGGAUCAAGCAGCAAUAAUGGCAAAAUUCAAGUGUUCCCGUCAUUGAAAGAACUAGUAUUGAAGGAUAUGCAUAGCCUAAUAGAGUGGAAGGGAGAUGAAGUUGGAGUAAGAAAUGUUUCCUGGGCUUGAGAAGUUGACAAUUACAGAGUGUUCACUGUUAAAAAGUGCUCCAACUCAAUUGGAAACCCUGCGUGAAUUAGAAAUUGAAAGAGUUGACAGUGAAAUGCCAUUGUUGAACUUGUGCAGCAACUUAACAUGUCUUGUGGAUCUCGAUGUCAGUGAUGUGAAAGAGCUCACUUGUCUACCUGAUGAGAUGCUACGCAAGAACGUUUCUCUUCAACGCCUGUGGAUCUCAGAUUGCAGAAAGUUUUGUGAAUUGCCACAGAGCUUGUACAAUCUCCAUUCCCUUGAGAGCUUACGAAUAUCCUUCUGCCCCAAUUUUAGUUCUUUUCCUGUUCCCAGUGGAGAGAAUUAUUUAACUUCCCUCCGAAGGCUUCACUUACUUUAUUGUGAUGGAUUGACCAGUUUACCAAAUGGAAUGCUAGAACAAUGCCGGUCUCUAAAGAUUUUGAGGGUCAGCAACUGUAAGAACUUGGUUUCCUUCCCUUUACAUGUGUGGGAAGUACCUUCACUUUCCAUUUUGGAUAUGUCAAAUUGUCCCAAAUUGAUUAGUCUACCCACAGGAGGCCUUCACCAUCUCACUGGGUUAUGGGAUUUGAAAAUUGGUCCUUUCUCAGAGAUUGUGGAUUUUGAGGCAUUCCAAUUGAUUUUUAAUGGCAUUCAGCCGCUAUUGUCCCUUCAUACGUUGUGGGUGUACGGACAUGGGCACUGGGAUUCUCUUCCCUAUCAGCUUAUGCAACUCUCUUCCCUAAUUGAGAUCAGAUUAAGUGAUUUCGGUAUCGAUGAUCUUCCUCAUAGUCUUUGCAAUCUUACUUCUCUUGAAACAUUACAUCUAGUGGGGUGCAAACGGCUACAACAUGUGGACUUCAGAGAUGCCAUGCCCAAAUUACAUUAUCUUGAGAUCUGUGGUUGUCCAUUGUUAGAAGCUCUGUCGGAUGGGCUCAGCAACCCUGUUUGUUUGGAAAUGUUAAUUUUUUGGAACUGCGAAAUACUGGAGCGUCUGCCAUCCAGAGAUGUCAUGCGAAGCCUCACGAAAUUACAGUUCCUGAAAAUUAAAGACUGCCCACAGUUAGAAGAAAGUUGCACCAAUUGGAGUAGCCCAAACUCCCAGUGGUCCAACAUUUCCCAUAUUCCAAAAAUUAAAGUAGGUGGGAGGAUAUUCAGAACUUAACAAUUUCAAAUUUCAAAAUUCUAUUCCUGCUCAACACAAAUGAAGAACCCUAAUUUUUCCCUAUAAAUACUUACAUUUCAGAGCUUAUUUGGGAGGAUUUUUUUCAAAAUCUGGCAGCCCCUCACCUCUAAAAUUUUUAGUUAUUUCUCCUCUAAACCAUCUCUUCUAUUUUCGUAUUUUACCAUUUUCUUUGGCAUUCCAGUCGCAGCAAUAGUUUGUGUGUUCGUUUCGACCAUUAACGGUGGUCAUCAGAGUUAGUAAGUAGAUCUAAGAUCGAGACCGCAAGCCCCCGUUCACUACCCCGCAGCAGGUGAUCUUUGUCCCUUUACUUUUACUUCUAUUAUUGUCUCCGUGAAAAUGUUAUACCUAUUGUAAGAAAAACCAUGCGUCAAGUAUAAUACUCACUUAUUUUUAGCUAUCAUGAAAGUGAUGUUUAAAAAUUAUGUUUUUUUUUAUUUAGUUUGAGGCCUGGAGAGAUUUGAGUUCAUAUCUCCUUCACAUUUUAAUUUAAAGAAUGAUUUGUUUUGGAAGGGGUUGGUGAUAUGUAAUCUGUUUUUGGUUCAAAGUUUGGUAUUUAUUUGUAUCUCUAUGUGAUAAAUAGAUAUUGUUUUCGCUAUUCUUAUGUUUUAAGAUUAUUAUGUUGUGUUGAGAAUCAUGUCAUAGAUAUAUCUAUUUAUUUGUUUUAUAUGCAGAGAAAUUGAAUACAAACUUGCCGCAUUUAUUAGUAAUCUUGGUAUUUAGAAGCUGUGGCCUUAUUUAUGCUUAAACUCGCCAAUGAAUUUUAAAUUGAAUAAAAAGCAAAAUCCUUGUGCUAAAGUUUAUUGCUAUAUUUUUUUUAUUUUUUCUUUUUCUCAACAGUAUGUAUUAAAAUAUAUUUUGGAAAGAAAAGUUGCUUAUUGGAUUCAGAUUUGGUUCUAAUUUGACUUGUGAAUGCUACUUUUAUAAAUAUUAUAUAUAGUUCGAGCUUUAGUUUCUUCUUACAUUGUAUAUUUGAACCAAAAUGUGCUAUACAUUGUAACUCAAUAAUAUUACCUUAGAGACCUUUCUAUAAUUAACUAAAUAGGCCUUAGAUAUUAAAUAAAUAUAUUUGUUUAUAUAUUGUAUCCAGGUGAAGGUUUUGUUUCUUGUUUAAUAUGUUGUGAUGUGUUGUGAUGAUUGCUAUCCUUUAACGAGAAUGGUAUUGGUUUAAUUUAAAGGCUUUGAGAUAUUUAUUCACUGUAAGCAUGCUUGUAAAUAUUAGUUAAAGAAAUUUUAUUUUCUUCCUAUAGAAGAAUGUAUAAGUUAGUUGGGUGUUACAAUUUAUUUCAUACUUACUAUUAAGGUACUUGUGUUGGAAUUGAAUAAAUAGAAUGUAUAUUUGUUUCACCUAUUAGUUACCUGCAUGUCUAAUCCUUUUAUUUCUCUUAUUGUUGUACAUGUACACUUUGGGAGGAAAAAACGGAGUUUUGAUUAGGACUCUACCAAUUAUUGAGUCUCAUAGACUCAACAUUAUCCUCACACUUGCACAUGGAGUCUUCACUACAUCUUUUGACCAUUCGAAAUUGCAAGCAAAACAAGUGGUCCUAUCUUGGAGUCACUUAUGGCUACUUACAUUUUGCAUUAAUUGUUUACGUGUUUUUCUUUACGUGUUAUACUUGCUUGUGUGAUUUAGAUAUUUCUAGUUUGGAUUCAUGAUAAUUGACUUAAUAUAGAUGUUUGGAUUUGGGUUCCUUUAGUUAGAAACUAAACCUUAUUAGUUACUUUACCUUUUAUAAACUUCAUUUGGCAAACCUUUUUUAAAAAAUACUUCUUUUUGCACCAUUUUAAUCUCACUAGAUUUAUUAAGUUUGGUUCAAACUUGGCAAUGUCUUACAAAGAAAAUUUGUUGUUCUAAACUCUUAUUUUUCUAAAACUUUUUCUAACGGGAGCACCUUGUCAGUCAAUGAGCAAGUGUCUAUUUUUUUAAUUACUUAUUUUUAGCCAUGGAUUUUUAGCCACGGAUUUAAGAUUUUACUCUUUCUUAAAUCUUUUUCAUUCUAAUAAAUUGCAAAAGAGCUUUUAAAAUAAAAAAUGUUUUCCAACUUGGUUAUUCAAUCACUUAAUAUUUAGCACUCAUAUCUUUCUUUUAAAAUUAAUUAACCUAAGUUUGGUCGGUAAUCGUAUUUUUAACGAAUCUUAAAGGAUGCCUUACCCCCUUCCCUUUAGGAUAAUUAGAACCCUUACCUAGAAUCUUAAGUUUUAGUUUUACUUAGUUAAAUAUUUAGGUGUCCUAAUUCACCAUAAUUAAUUAGGUGGCGACUUCUUAAGUUAAUUAAUUUGGAAAUCACCAAUAUGUUGUACACGUUUUGACCUCGAGUUAAUGAGGUAUAGCACACACCCCCCUAAAGUUAGGUGUGGUGCAACAACGCCUAACUUGGAUAAACACCAAAAGAAGGCAGGCUUGGGUAGCGGCUUUGUGAGAGUGUCUGUAAUUUGAUCCCCGACCAUAACAAACUUAGGUUAAUAAUUAAGUUUUUAACAUCUGUUUGUUUCAUUUUUGUUGUGUGUUUUAAUGCCUAAAUGAUUUACUUAUCAUGCUUAUGUGAAUAUAAACUGCUUAUUUGUAGUAGCUUUAUAUAAAUUGUUUAUUUGUUACUGUUAUGAAACACCAAUAUUAUCACAAAAAAAUCUUGGCGUUUGCGAGACUUGAUAUCGUAAUUCAGUCAAUAGAUUGUGUACCCAAGUAAGUUCAGAGAGUGCAUUGGCUACCGAUUUGUAUUCUGCUUCAAUAGAGGACCGAGCAACUAAUUGUUGCUUUUUAGAGGACCAACAGAUCAGAUUUGGUCCCAAGAAGAGUAUGUAACCAGAUGUGGAUAUUCUGUCAGAGGGAUCACCUGCCCAAUCAGCAUCGGCGUACAUAUACAUAUUACUAUUAGAGUGGCUAGAGAUUUGUAGGCACGACGUUGAUGAUGCCUUGAGGUAUCGAAACACCUUUUUUACUGCUUUCCAAUGCUCCAGACUUGGGGAUUGCAUAAACUGUGAUAGUUUGUUAACUGCAAAGGCAAUAUCAGGACGCGUGAAUGAUAAGUAGUGCAAUUUACCAAUGGUGCGUUGAUACAAGGUUGUAUCGGCAUGAGGUGAACCAUCGGCUGCUUUGGGUGGUAAACUUGAGCACAUGGGUGUCGUAACUCCUUUACAGUUGGCCAUAUCCACAUCUCAAGUAUGUAUCUGGAUUGUGAAAAGACAAUCCCAUUUGGAACAUUUUGACUUCGAUCCCCAAAAGAUAGUUGAGUUCACCCAGGUUCUUUAGAGAGAACUUGUAAGCCAGAGAGUUGAUUACAUGUGUGACCAAGUUUGGGUAAUUCCCAGUAAUGAGGAUAUCAUCAACAUACAAUAGAAUAUACAUCGUGACAGCUUCAGAUGUAAAAAUAAACAGAGAAGCAUCUGAUUCAGACUUAACAAACCCAAUUUUAGUCAAGUGAAAUUUGAGAGCUUCAUACCAUGCACGAAGAGCUUGUUUUAGGCCAUAAAUGGCCUUUUGGAGAUGGCAGACAUGAUUGGGAAAAUCAGGGUUGACAUAGCCUUUCGGCUACGCCAUGAAUACUUGCUCCUGUAAGUUACCUUACAAAAAUGCAUUAUUUACGUCAAGCUGCUGCACUUUCCAAUUAUUUUGAACUGCAAUAGAAAGUACAAUUCUGAUGGUGGUUGGUUUGACAACCGGACUGAAAGUUUCAUGAAAGUCCAGUCCUGGACAUUGUGUGAAACCUUUUGCAACUAAUUGCGCCUUGUAGCUGUCAAUAGAACCAUCAUCUUUCCUUUUAAUGUGAAAUAACCACUUACAAUCAACAACAUUAUUUAUCGGGUCCCUAAGUACUAGUUCCCAAGUUUGGUUUUUCAUUAAGGCUUCAUAUUCCAGAUCCAUUGUAUUCUUCCAUUCAAUGUGCUUAACUGCUUGCUUAAAGGUAUUUGGAGUGGGAGAAAGGUAGGACAAGAAGCUGAAUUUUUUCUUUGGUGUGAAGAUAUUAUUUUUGGACCUUGUGACCACACCGGAUGGUGGAGGGACAGCAACUGGUGACAUAAUUGUUAGCUGUUGCGGUGGAUGUUGGUUGAUUGGUGGCCGACGGGAAUAAUAUAAUGGUUGAGAGGUGUUGUGGGCUGCUUCAUUAAAUAGUGAAUGAGGUUGGGAAGAGAUAAGAAUCAUACCUGAUGAAGUGGAGACUGCUGGUAGUUGCCUUUCAAUUAUGGACUCUGGAGUGUUUGAAUGAGAGGGAACUGUUAGGGUGAUAGGAAUAGGAGGCGGAAGAGUUGGAACAAGAUUGAAGUCCAAAUUUAAUUGGACUUCCGGAUGAGUAUCCUUACCGACUUGGGACUCUAUGAUUUCCCAUUAUAACGUGGAAAACAUAUUUUUCAAGUGUGAGAACAUUUGAGUGAAAGGAAAAAUAUCUUCACAAUAUUGAACAUCACGACUGACGAAAAUUUUUGAGUGCAUAGGAUUAAAGCAGAGGUGUGCAUGAUGAACAAUAGAAACUCCUAAGUAGACACACAGUGUAGAUCUAGGCUGAAAUUUAUUUUUUGUAUAUGGCUUAAGCCAUGGAUAACAUAGACAACAAAAAAUUUUCAGCGAAGAGUAUUUUGGCGGUUCGCCAAACAAUUUUUUAUAAGGAGAAUCAUUAUUCAAGUCAGGUGUAGGUAGUCUAUUUAUGAGAUAGACAGCAUGGUGACAGGCAAAUGACCAUAGUUUAGAUGAUAGUGAGGCUUCAUUGAGAAUAGUUCGAGUUGUUUUGACAAUGUGACGAUGUCGUCGUUCAGCAAUUGCAACUCAUUGGGGCGUGUAGGGUGGGGAGAUCAAAUGUUGAAUGCCAUGGCAUUGUAGGUACUGUUUAAGACUUGUGUAUUCAUCCCCUCCAUCAGUAUAAAGUGAGACAAUUUUGUGUUUGGAAAUUUUUUCCACUAAAGGAUGAAAGUUUGUAAAAAUUGAAGCGACUUCACUUUUGUUUUUGAUUGUAUACAACCAAGUGUAUUUGGUGUAAUGAUCAACAAAAAUGCAGUAAUACAACUUUUUAUCAAUGGAUAAAAUGGGUGAUGGACCCCAUAAAUCACUAAACAAAGUUUGAAGUGGUGCAUUACUAUUUAAAGUGAGUCGUUGAAAUGGCAAACGAUGAGCUUUAUUUGAUGAGCAUGAAUUACAAAAAUGAAACUUUUCUUUGGUGGAAAAGGGAAGUGAAAAUUUAUUCAGUACUAAGUCUAGGAUUUUCAGAUAACGGUGACCCAAGCGACGAUGCCACAAUUGACGAGAAACUUUGGUGGAGGUGAAGUUGGCGGAAGGUGACACAUGAUCCCUCUGUGGCCACUCAUAGAGUCCGUGUUUAUUCUAGCCUUGUACCAGCAGUCUCCGAGUUUUGAGAUCCUUCACAAGAAAUGAGUGUGGGAAAAAUUCGAUUGAGGUCAGAUUGUCAGUGCAAAACUUAGCAACAGAAAUAAGGUUCUUUUUGAUAGCUGGAGCACAAAGAGUGUUAGAGAGCAUGAAAUUGGAGUUAGAAGCCUUAAUUUGAGUAAAAUCAGUGUGAGUAAUAAGAAUAGUUUUACCGUCACCUAUGGACAUUUCCUCAUUGCCAGUGUAUUCUUCAAGAUUAUCUGACUCAAUUGUGACAUGAUGAGUUGCUCCAGAGUCGAUGAUCCAAGGAUUUGCAUUUGAGUGAUGAUUUGACACAAAGUUGACCUUAGCUUCAAAGUGGUUGUGCGAUUUUGAGCGACACACAUCAGCUGUGUGACCGAUCUUUUGGCAAAGUUGGCAUUUUACUGCUUGCCUGGGUAGUCUCCCAUUCUGUUGAUUUCCAGGGACCGCCUGUCGUGGAGCUUGUGGUCUUGAAGAUUGAUUUGGGAAGCGAUGAUUAUUUUUUGAUGUUGGGGCUGGAAGUUGGUCCUUUGUGCAACUGCAGCUGUAAUGAUAGAGGAUGACCUGUCAAUAUCUUGAUGUUUGAGAAAGAGUUCAUGGUCCGUGAGUUUCUGGAACAACUCCUCAAAGCUUAGGGCUGUUUCGCGCGCUCUUAUAGCGGCAGUGAUUUCACGGUACUCAUGACCUAGGCCACUCAAAAUCUUGACUGCUAGUUCAUCAUUAUCCACCGGAGAGCCCGUUACUUUGAAAGCAUUAGCAAUUGAUCUGAUCUCUUGUAGGUAAGUAGCAACUGUCUUGGAGGCCUUUUUCAUGUUUUGCAACUGAUCUCGUAAGCUGAAGAUGCGAGUGUGACUCCUAUUGGCAUAAGCUAUAUGAAGGAGAUCCCAAGCUAUUUUUGCCGAAGAGGCAGUUGCAACAAUAGGAGCAAUGGUGGGGUCAACGGAUGCCAUCAUUGCCUGUUGAAUUAGUUGGUCCUGGCAAAACCAUAGCUCAUAUUCAGGAUUGGAGAUGGUACUAUCAGUUUGUGUGAUAGUGGUUGGCGGAGCAGAUUGGCACCAGUGAGAUGCCCAAGGAGCUUGUGUCCAUUGAGUAGCAUCACUAGUUGCGCCUUCCAGGUGCUAAAGUUGAGGUUACCUUGCAGUUUGAUAGGUAAUUGGGCAGCUGGAUUGAACUGUACCACAUGAGUGGUAGUCGGAACUGCAGCAGCCCUAUCAUUGGUGGUAGCAGGAACAACCAUGUUUGGACGCAAAGAGAGGAAAAAAACUUUGGAUCGGACUCGUGAGAGAGGGGGUCUAAUACCAUAAGGAGAUUGAGAAUCAAAGCAAACUUGAAUGAAUCUUAUUCAAAUGUUACAUAACUUAAAUACAGGUAAGACGUAACUAACUUGACUAAUUCUAAGGAACUGUUCUAACAACUUAAUAUGUAACUAAGUUGACUAAAACUAAGGAACUACUUUAACAACUUAAUCUAAAUCUACUCUAACAACCUGAUAAGAAUUAAUAACAAACUAACAAACUAGUGAGUAUGUCAACAAUAACUUUUAUGAAUAGAUGACACACUUGUCGUUACUUUCACUUCACAGGACAAUUUCUCCGUUCAUUAAACUUUCGUCAUUGAUGGACUUCAACAGAGAUAGUUGUCAUGAAUCAUUUAGCAAAUAAUGCCCCAUUGGCUCUUAAAAUGUCCUUAGCAACAUCUGCUCAUCUUAGCAGGUCUUGCGUUCUCCUUUUUUUAGUGGUUACUUGUAAUGAUUUUCUUCUCCAUUCUCCCAAGGAGGAAACGUGUGCCAAAACUGACUUUUUACCAUUUCUGGAAUUAUUUCAGAUUCAUGUUUGAAACACGAGCAUGGACCUCGUCGAAAUGGUACUUGUGUUAGAUGUGUUACAGUUUCAUAAUUGGCAAGGGAAAUUGCAUUCGGUAAACUCGUUUGCAUUUGGCUGAAACUGGAUUUGAGAUAUUAUAUCCUUGAAUGUGGAAAAUCCCGGAAGUGAAACUAGUAGACCUUUGAUGUUGGUCUAAUUCUAAACUGAAUUAACUGGUAGUGUUGAAUAGCAUUCAAAGUAGAAAGAGCAACUUAUGCAAGUCACUUUGCUAGAUUUCUCAGCCAUGGUUGUAUGCUGUAGAACAACUUGUGUCUUGAGAUUUUUAUUUUAGUGGUCUCUCAGAAUUGCCUUGCACGUUUAUUCCAAAAUACCUAAUACAAAUUUUGUAUUGCAAAUGAUAAAUUUUCAAAGACACAUAUAUUGUUAGAUUUUUUUUAUGUUAUAAAAUAACAAUCAAAACAUACAAAAAAAUUACAACUUUUUCACAGCAUAAGUUUAUAUGUUUAUAUCUCUACUCUGCUUAUUCAACCAAGAUUUCCAUCUAAGGUAUGCCCAUUACACCAAAAUAACAACUUUUUCGCAGCAUGAGUUUAUAUGUAUCAUAGUAUACCUUAAGUUAUGGCAUAUGCCCCUGAUAUUGAAAUAACAAAUAACUUUCCCAUGAUACAAGUUUACAUGUUUGUAUCAUAAUAUUCCACAAGUUAUGUUGUAUGCUAAGAGCCGGGAGGGCAUAAUGCAAAAAAUAAAAUAAAAUAUAAACCCAAUUUUUUUCUCUAAAAAGGAUAAAGAAUGCAUAUGCCCCAAAAGCAUAACUCCAGUUUCUGAACACUACAACAAAUUUUAGAAAAAACUACACAACUUAUGUUGGAAUAUUUAAUUUAUACAGAACUUAUGCCAAGCGAAGCAAAAGUUAUUUAAACUUAUGCUGAGCGAAUUAGGUCUCGACAGAUAUAUUUUGGUCCCCCAAAUUUUCAUAAUUAAACACCAGUCUGUUUGAAGGGCAAUACGUGCAAAAACUUGAUUUGAAUGUGACUUCCUUUUUGGUAUCCUUAUUUUCUUGUGGCAGACUCAUAACAGACUGUCAUUCAUUAGAAAUAAAAACAACACACAAAUUAUUUAUUUAAAGGAUGAUUAGCUGUUAAUCCAAAAAAAACAUUCUUUAUUCAAAUUAUUCUCUUUCUUGUAGAGGCCGGCAAACAACUAGCAAAAGAAUACUUAUGCAAGAAAUUUGAGAAGAUUUGGUGUAUAGAGGAAGAAAACAACUUUGUAAAGAGCAUUGCAACGAUGGCCGAUCUUGUAAUUGGUGCUACUGUUAAAGUUGUGCUUGAUAAGCUGCUUUCUCUCACUAUUGAGGAGGCCAAGAGUUUAAGGAACUGCAAGAAAAAUCUAAGAAUGUUGACAAAAUAUGUAUCCAUGAUCCAAGCUCUCAUUCAUGAUGCUGAAAGAUGACAAGUUGAUGAUCAGGCUGUUGAACAAUGGCUCAAAAUGCUUGAGAGAGUUGCUGAAGACGCUGAAAACGUGUUUGACGAAUUCAGAUAUGAAUAUCUCAAAGCACAAGUGAUGAACAUCCGAACCAAACUAAUGGAAAAGGUCAGCAACUUCUUUUCUCAUACUGUUUUUAAGUACAAAAUGUCUGAAAAAAUCAACAACAUCAAUGAAGAGUUGAGGGCUAUCAAUCAGUUAGCCAAAGACCUUGGUCUCCAAUCACUGAUGGUUCCUUCUCGGAACAUAGUACCAAUUCGAGAAAUAGAUUCCGUAGUUGUUGCUUCGGAUGUUGUUGGUAGAGACAAAGAUAUUGCUGAAAUAAAGGAGAAGAUUUUGAACAUGAGAAAGGAAGUUGUUCUGUGCACCAUUCCCAUAGUGGGUAUGGGUGGUUUAGGGAAAACAACUAUGGCUAAGAGAAUUUUCAGUGACAAACACAUCAAGCAGCAGUUCGAAAAGAGAGUUUGGUUGUGCCUACCUGAAAUGUCAGAAUCUAAGAGCUUUCUUGAACAAAUCCUUGAAUCAUUGACAGAGAGGAAAGUUGAGGUUCAAAGGAGAGAUUUAAUAGUUAAGAAGCUACAAGAUGAAUUGGAAGGAAAAAAGUAUUUGCUUGUCCUAGAUGAUAUGUGGCGUGUUGACUCUACAUCGUGGCAUGAGUUCGUGGACACCUUGAAAGGAAUAAAUACAUCCAGAGGAAACUGCAUUCUUGUGACUACUCGUAUGAAGCAGGUGGCAUCCAUAGUAGCAGAAGAUCUUCAUAUGUUGAGAAGAUUAGCAAGAGAUCAUUGUUGGUCCAUUUUCAAACAAAGAGCGUUUGUCGGUGGGAGGUUCCGAAGGCGGAGGAAAUACUGAGCGUGGAGACCAAGAUUGUUGAAAUGUGUCAAGGUCUGCCGUUGGCUGCAAGUGUGUUGGGAGGCCUCUUAUGCAACAAGGAAAAACAUGAAUGGCAGGCAAUUCUUGAUGGAAACCACCUUGUUGCAGGUGAAGAUGAUAAAGGGGAAAAUAGCAUAAAGAAAAUCCUAAAACUCAGCUAUGAUUAUCUACCAUCUCCACAUCUGAAGAAAUGUUUUGCUUACUUUGCUAUGUUUCCAAAAGAUUUUGAGUUUGAGAAGGACCAACUAAUCCAACUCUGGAUGGCAGAAGGGUUUCUUCGUCCAUGUCAAGAGACCCCCGUGAUGGAAGACGUCGGGAACAAGUUUUUCCAACUCUUGUUGCAAUAUUCCUUGCUGCAAGAUGUUAAGAUAGAUGAGCUCAACAAUAUAACACAUUGUAAAAUGCAUGAUCUUGUGCAUGAUUUGGCUGAAGAUAUUUUAAAGUCUAAACUAUUUGAUCAAAAGAGUGUUAGAGGAGAAAAUCUUUCUCAAGUCCGAUACUUUGGAUGGAACUCACCAAGUGAUCAAAUGGAUAUGAUAAAUGAGCCAGGACGUUUGUGCACAUUGUUCUGGAAAAGAAAUCUAUCUGAAGAUAUGCUAUUGAACUUUCAGUUCUUGAGGGUUUUAAAUUGUCCAGGUCAGGCAUCAAGGAGUUAUCAGCCAAAAUCGGCAAGCUAAUAUACCUGAGGUAUCUUGAUCUCUCCGACACGCAGAUCGAAGCCUUGCCCAAUUCCAUUUGCAAGCUCUACAAUUUGCAAACAUUUAGAGUCAAUGACUAUUCUUCACUCAGGAAGCUUCCAGAAGAAAUGGCAAAUAUGAUAAGUUUGAGACACAUAUAUUGCAGCUAUCAUUACAAAUUUGAUAUGCAGAUACCACUUAAUAUGGGACAAUUGACUUGUGUUCAAACCCUAGAGUUUUUCAAGGUGGGUUCAGAGAAAGGUCGUCGAAUAGAAGAAUUAGGUCAUCUGAAAAACCUUAGAGGUGAAUUGACGAUCAGAGGUCUGCAAUCAGUCAGAACUAAAGAAGAGGCUCGAGCAGCAUAUUUACAGGAGAAACCAAAUAUCUACAAGCUGACAUAUUUGUGGUCCCAUGAUGAAUCAGAUGUAUGUUAGAUCAAUGAUGAACAUGUGUUGGAUGGUCUUCAACCGCAUCCUAACUUGAAAACCUUAGUAGUGGAGAACUAUUUGGGGACUAUAUUUCCUUCAUGGUUCAGUAAAGAAUUGCUACCGAAUUUGGUCAUGUUGAAAUUAAGUGGUUGCAAAAGGUGCAAAGAAAUUCCAUCGUUUGGCCAACUGAAGUUCCUUCGGUAUCUUGAGCUGAUAGGAUUCCUUGAAUUGGAAUGCAUCGGACCUACAUUUUAUGGUGUUGAGAUUAAUGGCAAUAUCCAAGUGUUCCUCUCAUUGAAAGAACUUGUAUUGGAGGAUAUGCGUAGCCUUAUUGAGUGGAAGGGAGAUGAAGUUGGAGAAAGACUGUUUCCCACGCUUGAGAAGUUGAGGAUUACAAAGUGUCCACUGUUAAAAAGUACUCCAACUCAAUUUGAAAUCCUGCGUGAAUUAAGAAUUGAAGGAGUUGACAGUGAAAUGCCAUUGUUGAACUUGUGGAGCAACUUGACAUCUCUUGUGAAUCUUUUUGUCAGUAACGUGAAAGAGCUCACUUGUCUACCAGAUGAGAUGCUACUGUUGAAAAGUGAUUCAUAUACUUGACCAAGUCUUCAGGAGUUUGUUAGUUAGUUUCCUUUAUCUUAGCAUGUUUAGAUAUUGUGGCAGAUUAGUAGCUAAUUAGUAGUUAGUGGUUUAGUGGACCUAGAUUUUAGUAUUUUCUGUUUUACAGUAAGCCUAUUUAUAGGCAGACUUGUUGCUUCCAUUAUAAAUUAGAAACAAAACUUUGCAGUAGCUUUUACUUCUGUUUUUUGCUAUAUUUUUCUGUUCACUUUCUCCUUUACUUCCUUUUUUCUUUCCAACAAAUCUGGUAUCAAGAGCAAGGUUCCUUUCUGGAAAGUGUGAGGAAAAAUGGCAGUAAAUGGUAUUUCAUCAUCUUCCCAACAACUCAUGCCAAUUUUUACUGGUGAAAAGUAUGAGUUUUGGAGUAUCAAAAUGAAAACUCUUUUCAAAUCACAAGGAGUUUGGGAUUUGGUUGAAGCAGGCUUCGUGGAGCAAUCAGACUCUGACGAAGAGACGGAAAAAUUGAAAGAGAUAAAAAAGAAGGAUGCGAAAGCACUAUUCCUGAUUCAACAAGCAGUCCACGAUACAAUUUUUUCAAGAAUUGCAGCAGCAACUACAUCUUCGCAGGCAUGGAAGAUUUUGAAGAAGGAAUUUCAAGGUUCAGCUAAGGUGAUUACGGUAAAAUUACAGACUUACCGUCGUGACUUUGAAACUCUUUCUAUGAAAAGUAAUGAAUCUGUUCAAACUUAUUUGUCUAGAGUUUCUUCUCUUGUUAAUCAAAUGAAGCCUUAUGGUGAAAUCAUAUCUGAAGAAACGGUUGUAGCAAAAGUUUUAAGGAGUCUUACUUCAAAGUUUGAACAUAUUGUUGUUGCGAUUGAGGAAUCUCAUGACUUAUCUGAGUAUACUUUUGAUGAACUAAUGAGUUCUUUGCAAGCUCAUGAAGAGAGGCUCCUAAGAUCGCAUGAAAAAAAUGAAGAGAAGGUAUUCCAGGUGAAGGGGGAGUCCAUUCAUCAGAAAGAUAAGCUAGAAAUCUUUGCAAAUCGUGGAAGAGGCAGAGGUGGUUUUCGAGGAAGAGGCCGUGGAAGAGGCCAAGGAAGAAAUCGAGAUAGAGGAGGAUCAAAUGAAGAGAAGCAGGCUAAGACGUUUCUGUGCAACUACUGCAGAAAAUCAGGUCAUAAAGAAGCUUAUUGUUGGCAAAAACAGAGGGAUGAGAAUAACCAAGCAAGCUUUGUAGAGGAAAAUGAUGAUGACAGUAAGUUGUUCAUGGCCCUUUAUUGUGAAAAAGAAACUCCUAACGAUUUUUGGUUCUUGGACAGUGGUUGUUCCAAUCAUAUGUCUGGAACAAGAUCAUUGUUCAAGGAGCUCGAUGAGUCAAAAAAAUCAGAUGUAAGGCUAGGAGACAACAAGAAGAUUCAGGUUGAAGGUAGAGGUACAGUUAGCAUUAUGACCAGCCAAGGUAAUGCUAAGAUUUUAGAAGAUGUGAUGUUUGUUCCUAGUCUAUCUCAUAAUUUGCUUAGCAUUGGACAACUAAUGAUUAGCGGAUACUCAAUUUUCUUUGACGAUGGUGUUUGCACUAUUAAAAAUAAGAAAAUCUGAGAAAAUCAUUGCUAAAAGUUCCAAUGGCUAACAAUAAAAUGUUUCCUCUAGACGUUUCAAUGGUUGAGAGGUGUGCUAUGGUAGCUAGUGGAGAUAAUGAAACUAGACUAUGGCAUUUACGUUAUGGGGUCAUUUAAACGUUAAUGGAUUGAAGUUAUUGAGUCAAAAGGAAAUGGUUUUUGGUUGCCAAAAGUUGAGAAUCUUGAUUUUUGUGAAAGUUGUGUUUAUGGGAAAUAAAGUAAAAAAUGUUUUCCUAUAAGCAAGUCUUGGAGAGCUUCUGUUUGUCUUGAGUUAGUACAUGCUGAUUUGUGUGGUCCUAUGAGUGUUGAGUCUUUAGGGGGAAGUCGAUACUUUCUGCUUUUUACUGAUGAUUAUAGUCGUAUGAGUUGGAUAUAUUUCUUGAAAUUUAAAUCUGAAACUUUUGACAAUUUCAAGAAAUUUAAAUCUUUUGUUGAGAGACAAAGUGGAUGUAGACUCAAAACACUUCGAACAGAUAGAGGUGGUGAGUUUAUGUCAAAAGAAUUCAGUUCCUUUUGUGAGGAAAAUGGAAUACACAGAGAACUCACAGCACCUUAUACACCAGAGCAAAAUGGUGUAGCAGAACGAAAGAACCGCACAGUUGUCGAGAUGGGCAGAAGCAUGAUGGAAGGUAGAGGUGUACUGAAGUGUUUUUGGGCUGAAGCUGUUGCCACUGCUGUCUAUUUGCUGAAUAUUUCUCCUACUAAGGCAGUGUUUAAUCAAACACCAUAUGAAGCUUGGAGAGGUAACAAGCCCAAGGUAAGCCACUUACGUGUCUUUGGUUGUAUAGCUUAUGCCUUGAUAAAUUCACAAGCUCGACGUAAGCUUGAUGAAAAAUGUGAAAAAUGUAUUUUUGUUGGAUAUAGCACACAAUCCAAGGCUUAUAAGUUAUAUAAUCCAGUGAGUGGUAAGAUUACGGUCAAUAGAAAUGUUGUGUUUAAUGAAGAUGCAAGUUGGAAUUUUAAUUCCACAAAUGAAAGUUCAAACAUUAAGUUGUUGCCUUCUGACGAUAUUAUUGAUCAAGAGUAUGUAGCUGAUCCUUUUUUGGCUGGUCCAUCGUCUACCUCAUCAAUUGCACCAACAACUUCUCCAAUAUUGGAAAAACCUUCCGCUGAGCCAAUUCCAUUAAAAAGAUCAACAAGAGAUAGGAAACAAAAUCCUAGAUAUGCUAACAAUACAUCUUGUACCUUUGCUUUACUUGUUUUAGAUCCUAUCCUCUUUGAAGAUGCUGAAAAAGAGGAUAAAUGGUGCAAGGCUAUGGAAGAAGAGUUGAUGGCUAUUCAAAAGAAUCAGACAUGGGACUUGGUAAAUUUGCCUGAAGGAAAGAAAGCUAUUGGGCUCAAAUGGGUGUUUAGAACCAACUAUCAUGCUGAUGGCAGCAUCUAAAAACAUAAGGCAAGGCUCGUCGCAAAAGGUUAUUCCCAGCAACAAGGUAUUGACUUUGAAGAAACUUUUUCUCCUGUUGCUCGCUUUGAAACUGUGAGAACUUUUUUAGCCUUGGCUGCUAAUUUAAGUUGGCCAGUUUACCAAUUCGAUGUUAAAUCUGCCUUUUUAAAUGGUGAUUUGGAAGAGAAAGUCUAUGUCUCACAACCUGAAGGUUUUGUAGUAAAUGGCAAAGAAGAUAAUGUCUAUAGGUUAAAAAAGGCACUUUAUGGCUUAAAGCAAGCGCCGCGGGCAUGGUACUUCAAGAUUGAUUCAUAUUUCCAUGAGAAUGGUUUUGAAAGGAGUAACAAUGAACCUACUCUUUAUGUAAAACGAGAAGGUAAAAAUGAUUUUUUGGUCGUAUGUCUUUACGUUGAUGAUAUGAUAUAUAUGGGUUCGAAUGAGUCUAUGAUCACUGAUUUUAAGGACUGCAUGAUGAAGAAUUUUGAGAUGUCUGAUUUGGGUCUACUACAUUAUUUUCUUGGUCUUGAGGUGAAACAGGGAAUCGAAGGCAUAUUUCUUUCACAAAGAAAAUAUGCGACAGAUCUUUUGAAAAAGUUUACUAUGGUAAAUUAUAAAGUUGCUGUUACGCCGAUGAAUAUUAAUGAAAAGUUGUGUCGUGAUGAUGGUUCUGAAAUGGCAAAUGCAACUUAUUUUAGAAGUCUGGUUGGUGGUUUGAAUUACUUGUCUCAUACAAGACCAGAUAUUGCUUUCUCUGUUGGCGUUAUAUCGAGAUUUAUGCACAAUCCAAGCAAGCUUUCACCUUGGAGCUGCAAAGAGAGUACUAAGAUAUAUUGCUGGGACAACAAAGCAAUGGAAAUUUGGUAUUCUAAGGUAACAAAUUUCACAUUAACUGGCUUUACUGAUAGUGACUACGCAGGCAGCAUUGAUGAUCGAAAGAGCACAUCUGGUUUCUUGUUUAAUCUUGGGUCUGGAGCAGUUUCAUGGAGUUCAAAGAAGCAGGAAGUGGUCGCUUUAUCAACUUCAGAGGCUGAAUAUAUUGCAGCAACCUCUGCAGCUUGUCAAGCAGUUUGGUUAAGGAGACUUGUUGCAGAUUUUAACCAGAAACCGACUGGUGCAACUGAGAUUUUUUGUGACAAUAUAUCUGCUAUUGCGAUGACGAAGAAGCCAGCAUUUCACAGCAGAACAAAGCACAUUGGUAUUCGCUAUCACUAUAUUAGAGGUCUUGUUUCUACAGGAGAAAUUACUUUGAAGUCUUGUGAUACAAAUGAGCAAGCAGCAGACAUCUUCACGAAGUCACUUCCGCAAGCAAAGCACGAGUUCUUCAAAGGUCAACUUGGAGUUUGCUGUUUUGAAUCAAGGGGGAGUGUUGAAAAGUGAUUCAUAUACUUGACCAAGUCUUCAGGAGUUUGUUAGUUAGUUUCCUUUAUCUUAGCAUGUUUAGAUAUUGUGGCAGAUUAGUAGCUAAUUAGUAGUUAGUGGUUUAGUGGACCUAGAUUUUAGUAUUUUCUGUUUUACAGUAAGCCUAUUUAUAGGCAGACUUGUUGCUUCCAUUAUCUAUCAGAAACAAAAUCCUUGCAGUAGCUUUUUACUUCUGUCUUUGCUCUAUUUUUCUGUUCACUUUCUCCUUUACUUCCUUUUUCUUUCCAACAGCUACGCAACAAUGUUUCUCUUCAACGCCUGUGUGUCUCAGAUUGCGGAGAGUUUCGUGAAUUGCCACAAAGCUUGUACAAUCUCCAUUCUCUUAAGAGAUUACAAAUAUCCAACUGCGCCAAUUUCAGUUCUUUUCCUGUUCCCUGUGGAGAGAACUACUUGACUUCCCUCCAAUUAUUUCAGUUAAGGUAUUGUGAUGGAUUGAUUAGUUUACCAAGUGGAAUGCUAGAGAAAUGCCGGUCUCUAUUGAUUUUGAUCGUCAAAAACUGUAACAACUUGGUUUCCUUGCCUUUACAUGUGUGGGAAAUGCCUUCACUUUGGCUGUUAGAUAUAUCAGAUUGUCCCAAAUUGAUUAGUGUACACGCAGGGGACCUUCACUGGCUCACUGGGUUACGGCAUUUGGAAAUUGGUCCUUUCUCAGAGAUGGUGGAUUUUGAGGCAUUCCAGUUGAUAUUUAAUGGCAUUCAGCAGCUGUUGUCCCUUCGUACAUUGAGGGUGUACGGACAUGGGCACUGGGAUUUUCUGUCCUAUCAGCUUAUGCAACUCUCUGCCCUAACAGAUAUCUAUAUAUUUGAUUUUGGAAUCGAGUCUCUUCCUCAUAGAUUUGACAACCUUACUUCUCUUGAAACAUUAUUGCUAGUGAGGUGCAAACGGCUACUGUUGACACCAAAUUUUGUCCCUCCUCUCUUCUAAUUUAUUUCGUUGAGCUUCUAAGUUGCUAAUAAGUCGAAUACUUUAUAAUUCGCUAUUAUUUUCCACUUAUCUCUAUUGCUAUCGUAAUUAUCUAUAUUACUUUUAUGAUUAUCAUCUUUGUAUUAUCCUUCUCGCUAUUUUAAAAUUAUAUAUUUUAUUUUCGACAUUACUAUUAUUACUUUAUUGUCGUCUUCUUUAAAAUAGAUUGUCGUUACUUUAUUUCAAGUUUCUUACUUACUAAUUUUUUUUUUACAUAAUAUAUAUUAUAUUUGUUAUAAGUUAGAAGCCCAAAAUGAUUUAACAAGAAGAUGGGAAAAGGCCAACAAAUCCAAAACCCAACAAUUGGAUUAUUUUGGUCCAAGAAACGUUUUAGUCAUUCAGCCCAUCUACCCAUUAAUCCAAAUAAUCAGUCAGCUCACAUAAUUUAUCAAUAAUCCAAAAAUACCCUUCACAACUUCAGCCCUAAUUCAAAAUUUCUCAGCAGCAGCCUUUCCAUUCCUCUUCUAGCGUAAAUACAUUUUUUUUCAUAGUCAUGGCAAAAUUUCUUCACCAUUUUUGUGCAAGUUCUGUACACCUACUUUAGCAUAUCAUCAAAAUGUGUAUAAGUCCAAUGCAUAGCAGAUCCGACUUCAGAAAAAGGCUCACUAUUUCGAGCAUAAAUCUGAAGUAUCAUGUGAAGGACACAUUCAUCCAAAUCUCAACGUUGGAUUUCAAACGACUCUCUUUGACCAUGAAUUCAAAAAUCAAAGAUGAAAUCCCGCCCAAAUGUAAACCGAAAUCUUAAAGCCUAUUCUAUAAAUACUUGCCUCUGUUAGCCUUUGAAGGGGGGCGUUUUUGGCUUUGAAAAGAGGAGUUUUCUGCUUACAAAAGAAAUCAAGAACAAGUUUAAGCAUUCUCAAGAACGCUCCUCUCUUAUAUUUGAAUAUCAUCUCACGAAAUAUUUUCUAUUCUAUUCUCUAUUUUUGCUUAAUUUUGUCGGAGGAACGAGAUUAGAUCUUUGAUCAACGACCAAGUUCACUGCUCCACAAAAGGUGAAAAUCUAAACUUAUUCUUAUUUAUUCGACAUCGACGAUUGUUUUGUUGUUAUAAGUCAUGCAUAAUGGAUAUAUCACUCUGUAAAUUUGAUUCAUUUCAAUUUGAACUGUUUACUGUAUAUUCCCAUAUGCUUGCAUAUCAGCCUAGAAAUCUCAACCUAUCACUGGGUGGUUAAGUUUAGUAUAAGAAAAUGCAUACAUUAGGAGUAGAUUUAUAUUUAGUUCAGUGCUACUAUCUGAAAACUCUCUCAACUAACAAAAGAUUUCCACUUUUACUAAAAGUCAUGUCUUAUUAAAUUUCACUUAACAUUCAUUAAUGUACACAUAUGUAUAAAUUAUGUCUGUUAAAAUGUAUUACUUAAGAUCCCUCUAUUGAAGUGGCUUUUCUAAUCAUGCACUAUGUCUUGUACUUUGAUACACAAGAAUAAUGCCAUACUUCUGUACAUGUUAGUCUUUUGUUUUAUAAAUCGAGUUCCGUAUAACUUGCUCUGUUUUUGUACUUUUAUUAACUAUUUGAGAAUCAUUUUUUUCUAACUUUCCCUCCUUGCUCUUUUCUCUGUUUUGCACGCACAUCGAAGCCGAAGAGUCCCCUAUGGGACUCAACGAUACCAUUAUUGCAUGGAGCUUGCAUAUCUUAUACAUGGAGUCGGCACGUCCUUAUUCUUUCCUGCUUCAUACUGUUCAGACCUCUAGUAACGGAGGAGAUCAUUUCCUUAUGUUAAAGUCGCACAUAACUACUAAUUUCCUCAUUUAUUUUAGCUUGUUUUAUUUGAUUGUAUUGAUGUGAUCAACAUUUUAUAUUUGUCUAUGUGUUAUGUGUUCCCUUAUAUGUAAUGACUAAUAGCUAGGCUUUAAUUGGAAUUCCCUUUGACCCUCAUACAGUAGCUAUGAACACUUGCUUUUAUCACAUAAAAUAGAGCCGUUAUUUCUUUAAAAAAAACAAAAAGGCUUAAGAAGCCAACUUUGUUAAGUUAGAAAUAUUCCUUAUUGAAAUUUUCUUGCAGUUACUAAUUUUGGUUUCAAAUACUUUUGUCAAAAUAACCACUAUAACGUUUUCUGCUCCAACUCCUUUUUUUGGGUUUACAUUUACAGAUUUUAUUAUAAAAUUUAUUCCUUAACUUGUAAGUUCUUGAAUUUAUUCGAAGCUUAAACUUUUCCCUCUAAAUUUAGUUAAGUUUACUAGAUCUUCUUUUACUACUUCUAAUACUUCAUUUUUUGAUAAAAUUCCUAUUUCUUAUUAAAUUCAAAUGGAUUCAAGUCAUCAUUAUUCAAUAAACUAAUUUAACUUUUUACAAAACUAUUUUACUUCCACACAUUUUCAACAAGACGAUUUUUCAUAAGAAAUGUUUUUCCGAGCAUUAAUUUUUAAGUUACUUGAGAUUUAGCAUUUAUACAUUUUUACAUCUUCAUGCUUAGCAUUUUAACUCUCCACCUUAGCCUAAUUAAUUAAUCAAGUUCGACCGGUUAACCAUUUUUAAUGGAUCUUAAAGGAUGCCUAACUCCUUCCCUUUAGAUUAGUUGAACCCUUACCUAGAAUCUUAAGUUUAGUAGACCUUAAAAUGAAGUUAACUUUAGAAAAUAACUUUAAUCAAUUUAGGUGUCCUAAUUCACCGUAAUAAUUAGGUGGCGACUUCUUAAAUUAGUCAAUUAACUUUAGAAAUCACCAAAAUGUUGUACACUAUUUUGACCCGGUUAAAAUGGGGUAUAACAGCUACGACAUGUGGACUUCUCAGCUGCCAUGUCCAAAUUACGCAUCUGGAGAUCCGUGAUUGUCCAUUAUUAGAAGCUCUGUCGGAUGGGCUCGGCAAACUUGCUUCUUUGGAAAAGUUAUGUUUAAGGAGCUGUGAAAAACUAGAACAUCUGCCAUCCAGAGAUGCCAUGCGACGCCUCACUAAAUUACGGAAUCUGGAAAUUGGAGGCUGCCCAAAGUUAAAAGAAAGUUGCACCAAUCGGAGUAUCCCAAAACUCCCAGUGGUCCAACAUUUCCCAUAUUCCAAAAAUUAAAGUAGGUGGGAGGAUGAUUCAGAACUUACGUAAGUCUCUGUUUCUCUUUCACUGUCUGAUCAGUCAAUUUUUUAAAUAUUAAUUUCCCUGUGUUCCAGAAAAGAAGUUCUGUAUGUGGUUUAACAUUUUUUUCUGCAAUUAUUUUGACAUUAAAAAAUGCAAAAUUAUUAUACAAUUGCAUUUGUGUUAUGCUUUCAGCAUUCUGCUUGUCCACUUGAACUGAAUUGUUCUUCUUCUAAUUCUUCAAGUAUGGUAUAUCUUGAUAUGAUUUAAUCAUGAGAUUUUUUGUUUUUUUUCCUUAUAGGUUACUAGUUUCAAGGCCAUGCUAGAACGUCGUUGUGGUAUUUGACUUGUUCUAACACAGAGAUAACUCUGGAAGCAUCAAUCAACUAUCUAUGAAAUUGUGUAAGUGUUAGAAUGUAAGCUGUUAGGAAGAGACUACAUUAGUUUCAGUCGAUUUGGUGUUUGUAUCAUAAUUUCCCUUAAGUUAUGAAGUAAAAGGAAUAAUAAGUUAUGUCGAGCGCCCCAUUAUACUGAAAUAACAAAAUAACUUUUUUUUCAUGACACAAUUUUACUGUUUAACAAGUUUGGUUUUUGAGUAUGCAUAUUUGCUCAUUUGCCCAAGUGAAACUAUUUUUCUAGUUUCUUUUCUGUUAUCUCUUUUGAUAAAAUAAAUAACCUUUUUUCCUGUAAUUAAGCUGUUUGGGAAGAGCCUACAUUAGUUUUAGGUGAUUUGAUGCUUUUCUCCAUAUAAUUCUUCUUCAUUUUUGUUUUGCCAGAGCUUCGAUCCAUAAUAUUGAUGCGAAAACCUAGGACUUGAAUGGAUCAACCAGUUUGAGGGCGAUCUGUCCGUUAGAUUGAAGGAUUCUCUGUUCAGCGGAAUGUCAUGAGAUCUGAUGUAGACCGAUGUCUUUUUGGACCGAAAUAAUGUCAUGAGACUUGUAUAGAUAGUAGAAGCUUCUCCAGUUUUUGUUGACUGUAGUAUUCAACAGUAUUCCUUUUUCCUUUUUAAUUUUCAGGGGACAGAUUGGAACAUUUUGUUAGAGAGGUCUAUAUAAGUUUCUUAAUAGACAUUCUCGUUACUUUCACUUUCAUUAAAACUCUCGCGAUUGAAGGACUUCAACAAAAAAAGUUACAAAAGACUGCUUUUUGUUGAAUCUUAUAGCAAAGAGUGCCCCAUUGGCUCUAAAAAUGUCCUUAGUAGCAUCUGUUCAUAUUUAUAGAUCUUGUAAUGAGCUGAUUCUCCAUUCUCAAAGAUCAAAAUGUGUGCGAAAACUGACUUUUACUGGCUCCUGUGUUUCGGAUUGAUGGUUGAAACAACGGCUUGGACUUCUUAUCUAAAUCGUAGACUGGAAAAGACUUGUAUGAGAUUUGACAGCAGAGGCCUUUCUGCACAAUGUUCAUAUGCUGUACCUGCCUUUCAUACAAACAAAAGUAAUAUAGGUUUAUGUCAUUUAAGUAACUCCUACUCUCUAGAAAAAAAAUUGAAACCUAAGUUUGAUUAAUCCAAAAAUAUAAUUUGGUUUACAAGAUCUAUCUUGUGUUUGUCUUAAUUGAUUGAUGUUCCAUGGUAGUAAAUAUUUCUUUGCAAAAUACUUCAUAUGCCAAAUAGAAAAUAAAAAAAUAAAAAAUGUGUAAGAGGAUUACAAGGUGGGAAAUUGAGCACGCUGGAGAAUUUUGUUGUGGGAAAACAUUGGAAAUCAUGGAGUUGUGCUUUUUGAAUAUUUCUCUAUCAAAACUUUGUUAAUUGAGGGGAAAGUUACCCAUUUAGUUGAGCAGAUAAAUAUAAUAGUAUCCACUAUUCAAAUAUGCAAUAAAGAUAUACGCUAUUUUGCAAGUAUAAGAAUAUACAAAGACUAGAGCAAAUAUAUAAAAUAUCUUUGAAUUUUGACUCAAGAUAGUCCUAUAUCUCUUAUAUGGACUUGUAAUAUACCACAUCAUAUCAUAUCACCAUUAUAUAUAUAUUAAAAGUGGGAAGCUCUUAACCUUAAAGUUGGAUUAUAUAUAAGUGGAAAGCUCUAAAGUAUAAAAUCAAAUUACCAUUUUACCCUUAAAACUUAUUUUUCAGAGCUAGAAAUUAAGGCUUGUUUUUGUUUUGUUAAUGUGCAGUGAACAGAAACAUCUAUGGUAAAUAAUAAUAAUAAUAUAUUUACUAUAAUAAUAUAGUUAAGUAUCUUUCAUUAUUUACCUGAUAUUAAUAUAUUCUUAUUAAACUUCAUCUAUUGAGCAAUUAUCAAUUAAGCUCAAUUAAUCUAAAGUUGAAAAGCCUGUUUUUUUCCGUUUUUUUUUACAAUAUAUAUAACAUUUAUUUUGAUGAUGAACAUUAAUUAGGAGGAAAAAGAAGAGACCAUUUUGUAAAAAUGAAUUUGGUUGCAGCUCUAUUUCAUCAUUCUUGCAACAUUCACUCAUAUGCUUUCUGAUUGUACUGAUUAUGAUUUAUGUAUUUCUUUUUCCAUUUAUAUUAUUACGAUUAAAGACUUAAGAAGGAUAUGUAUUGUGUAUGUUUUUUUUGGUAUGUUUUCUCUCUAUUAGAUUUUAAUAAAUUUAACUUUUUAUGAAUUUCUGAUUGUCGUACAUUUGUAUUUUUAUUUGGGAUCAAAUUAGCCAUUUGUGACUUUUGCAGAGUUUGCUAACUACUAACUAAAGUUCAAAAUUUAAAGUUGGUUGAUUAAAAGGAAUUAAUUUUUAACAUUAAUAUACGUCCUUCACUGGUGUUUCGUGCCACACUUUUAAAAAAUAUUUAUAAUUGUUGCAUUUUAUUGCUCAUUACAUACAUGUUUUCAUAAUUCAAAUAAAUCUAUAGAAAAUUACAUGGGACAAACGUGCAACUCGCGUGCCCAGAAACUAGUUUAUUUAUAAAAGGAACAUGAAGAUAUGUGUGAUUCAUCAAUGCGACGCUUUAGGAUGUUUCGAUAUCUUGUAUAUGAAUGAUGGUUUGCUCAUUUGGUAAAAUUACAUAAGAAUUGGAGAAAUUUGAUGCUUUUCACAACUGUUAGAUUUUUCAUGUUUACGAGGAAAAAUUAUAAUUUAAAAAAUCAAAAUUGCAUGUCCAUUUAGUCAAAUCUAUUUAGGGAUAUGCCAUCGCCGAGCUCAAAAUUGUAGUGAACCUGUGUUAUGUAUUAAUUGUAACAUUUUUUUUUACGUUCCUCUCCUAUUUGGGUUAUUUCAAUGUGUGACACGACAAAAAUGCUUGGUAGCCUAAGACCAUCUCCAACCCAUCUCUAUUUUACUCUCCAUUCUCUAUAUUUGGAGAGUAAAAUAGAGAAUGGGUUCUCCAACCACUCUCUAUUUCACUCUCUAUUCUUCAAUUAUAGAGAGGUGAAUAGUAGUUCUCCAAAUUUGGAGAACUACUAUUCACCUCUCUAUNNNNNNNNNNNNNNNNNNNNNNNNNNNNNNNNNNNNCCUCUCUAUUUUACUUUUUGAUUAUUAUAAUAUUAUUUCUAUUAUAUUACUAUCAUUUGUAAUUAUUUUCUAAUGUAACAUAACAUUUAAAAAUAUAUUAUCAACAAGUUACUACUUCCGCCAAAUUAAUAAUUUUUCUAUUUUAUUUUUUUAAAAGAAAUGGUCACUUUAAAUAUGUAAUUUAAAGUUAUUUUAAUAUUAUUUAUAUUAUAUAAGAUUAUUAAUUAUGUCUCUAAUAUUUGUAAUUAUUUUCUAAGUAAUAUAACAUCUAAAACAUUAUUGAUAAGUAUACUACUUCCAUCCCGAAUUAACAAUUUUUCUAAUUUAAUUUUUAAUUUUUUUUUUGUCAUUUAAAUAUGUAAUUUGGAUUAGAAUUAUUUUUCAUUAUGAAGUAUGCACAAAAAUUACAUGAUAAUUCAAACAAUCUACUUUUAUGUUAUAAUGAUAAAUUAUUAAACUACACUUUUUAAAGAGCAUGCAAAUAUUUGAUGCAAUAGUUCAAAAUGGAAUAGGGGAAGUAAAUUAGUACACGAAAUAAUUGGACACAAGAUGAAAUUGUUAAUUUAAAUAAGAUUUAGCUACACAUAAAAAAUAAGGAUAAAAAAUGCUUAUUUUGAACUCCGUAAUACAUUAAUAGAACAUUCAUGAGUAGGGGUGUGCAAACACCGAAUCAACCGAUAAAAGUGUUAUGGUUUAUUGUUAUUGGGUUAUUGGGUUAACGGUUUUUUAAUGGUUUUAUAAAAAAAAUUAUUGGGUUAUCGGUUCGGUAUUGGUUUUUAAUAUUGGGUUAUUGGGUAAACCGAUAACCCAUUAAGACUAGUAAUUUACUACUUUGUACAUAAAUAUUAUAUAUUAAUCUUAAUACCUUAGUAGUUACUACUAUCUUUGUCCUUUAGCCUUCAAUUCACACUUCACAAUGGAUUUGAGUUCACAAUUUCACAUUAUAAAAANNNNNNNNNNNNNNNNNNNNNNNNNNNNNNNNNNNNNNNNNNNNNNNNNNNNNNNNNNNNNNNNNNNNNNNNNNNNNNNNNNNNNNNNNNNNNNNNNNNNNNNNNNNNNNNNNNNNNNNNNNNNNNNNNNNNNNNNNNNNNNNNNNNNNNNNNNNAUAAAUUUUACGAUAAUACAAUAUUUAUGAUGCAAUUAUAUUUCAUCAAUGAGUUCAUUUUUAUUUGAAUUGUUCGUUAAUAUGUAUUAUAUAUAAUAUGUAUUGCAAUUUAUGUUAUUUAGAAAUUUAGAAUAAAAUAUAAUUUUAUAUUAAUGAAAAAUUUGAAAAAAAAAAAUUGUAUUACGUAAAAAUUAUAGAGUGAUUAUUUGCAAAAAGAAGAAAUGAUUUAUAUUAUGAAAUAAGAAAAUAAGAAUGAAAUAUAAAUAAUAAUAUAAUAUUGAGGAGAGAGAAAAAGAUUCCUUUUUAGAGAGUAAAAUAGAGAAUUGGAUUGGAGUUGAUUGUCUGAAAAAAUAGAGAACUCUAUAUUUGGAGAGUAAAAUAGAGGAUUGGGUUGGAGAUGCUCUAAAUGGUUGUUAAUCUUUUUCUUUGGCCUACUGUCAUCGGUCCGCCCUCCAUCAUUAAUGUCACACAUAUGAUAUGGAUUUCUUUUUGUUUUUAAAUAAAUGACUACAUCAUAGGUCUUUUUUUAAUAUAUUUUAUGGAAUAAGGCAUCAAAGACUAGAAUAAAGCUGAUGUCGUUUUUACUAAAGCAUCCAAUAGGAAUGAAGCACUAUCAUUAAUUAAUAAAGCACUAAUUGUUGUUUACCUACCAAUACCAUUAAUUAAUAAAUUAAUAAUGCAUUCAGAACUCAUAAUAUACACAUUCCAGUCUGUUUGUGCCAUUGCCAACUAUAAUUAUUGUUUGAUCUCCUCACCCAUCUCUAUGUACUAGACAACACCUUGUGCCAUAUAGUAUUUUGAUUUACAUCAAUCAGUUAACAAUCGAUUGAUCUACCAUUGAGCUAUUGAGAAAUAACAAGAGAUUCGAUAAGUUAAUAUUGAGGUAAGUUCCAUUGAUUCAUAAUUUAGUUUCAUACUUAAAGGAAAUCUUUAUCCUCUGAAUCUAUAUACUCCCCCUUCAUCAUUUGGUGAUUGUUUUUUCCUUUUAAUUUCCUAUAAUCCCUUCAUCUAACACCUGAAAAAUACAAUGAAGGAUACACAAACACAAGUCAUAAAGAAUAAAGCUAACAAAUAUUUUCAGUUCCACCAAGUCUACUACAGUCAAAUAAACGAAAGAAGGAAUUAAUGAAAAAGGAGAAAUAAAUUAUACAAGACACUAGUACAGUAGAUUGUACUAAUAUAUAAAACUUUUAGCUUUUGAAGUUUAGCUAGACCUAGAUAUUAUAUUUUUAUAAGGCAUCAUAGCCAGAUCUAUUUUCGUUUGCACUCCUGAUCCAUGCUCCAAUUGUGAAAAAGUUAGAUGAUUUUUUAAAAUUAUCAUAGAUUAGUCUCUAGAAUAGUUUAGUGUAGUAUCAUCAUAUCAUAUUAUCAUGUAUUAUAUCAUGUAGGCAUAAUACAUAAAUAUGCCCUUUAACAAUUGGCCUCAGCUCAUAUUUAUGUCUUUCAACUUUGAGUGUGCACAAGUAGACACUUAAACUUGCAUAAAAUUGAAUAAGUAAACACAUGCAUCCUACUGGCAAUUUAUGUCCUAUGUGGUGUCCUACGUGUAUUAUGCCACAUAAGACUCAUGUGUCUACUUAUUCAACUUUAUACAAGUUCAAGUGUCUACUUGUGCACACUCAAAGUUGGAGGGCAUAAAUGUAAAAUGAUGCCAAAUUAAGGGGCACAUUAUUAUUAUUAUUAUUAUUAAAAGUGGGAAGCUCCAAAGUGUAAAGUUGAAAUACCAUUUUACCCCUUUACUAAAUAUUUUUGGGAAAAUGCAUAAAUACCAACCAGCCUAUGCCCAAAAUCUCUGAGACACACCUAACCUUUACUAAGGUCCUAUUACCCCCCCCCCCCCAAACUUAUUUUAUAUAUAAUUUUCUACCCUUUUUCGACCUACGUGGCACUAUCUUGUGGGCCCAGUGCGUGUUGACAAUUUUUUCAAGGAUAGUGUCACGUAGGCUGAAAAGGAGUAGAAAACUAUAUAUAAAAUAAGUUCGGGGGGAGGGGGGUAGUAGGACCUUUGUAAAUGUUAGGUGUGUCUCAGGGAUUUUGGGCAUAGGUUGGGGGUACUUAUGCAUUUUCCCAAUAUUUUUUUAGAAAUCAUAUAUUAUAUAUUAUUAGUUAUUAUGUAUUAAAUAUUAUGUUAUCAUUUAUCAUUAUCAUUCAUUCAUAUUCAAUCAUCCUUAUCUAUAAAUGUUAAUUUAUUUUUUGUUAGAAUAAAGAAGACAAAUGAAGAGUUGUGGAAAUGAGUAGUUAUGAAAAGCUACAACAAAUAAGUAUAAUAAAAAGGUCUUUCGCGAGCUUGCAAUAAUGGGAUGUUAGAAAUUUACUUUUUUUAUGAAAUAGUAAAAUGCCUGUAGAAUUUGAAAAGUUAAUAUUUCAUUAAAAACAUAAUAAAAGAUUGCAUUCAUCUAUUUAAACAAUCAAUCCUUACUAUUAAAACAUAAAGAAUGUGAAGAGUUACAUUGAAUUAAAAAAAAGACCAUAAUCAUCUAUAAAAUCAAAUAUAUACGGAUCACUUUUAUAGAAAAAAAGGAGAGAAAAAAUCAUGAAUUUUAUGGAUUAAUGUUGGAGAAGAGAAUUUUGUUCUCAUUUUUUUUCUUGGAAAAAUCUGAUUCAUAUGUCCAUCUCAAAUUUGUUUGCUCUAAUAUAUUGCCAUGCAUAUUUUUAAUUUUGUUUGCUAACUAAUUUUUAUUUGUUUCUCCACAUUACAGAUUUAACUUUGUGCACUCUUCACUUCUCAAUCACUAAUAUCAGGUACUCAUUUUCUAACAAUUAUUAUUUUACAAAAAUAUAAUAUAAUUUAUAGGAAAAUGUAAUCUAUGUCUAAGAUUUAUGAGAAGUAUAAAGAUAUUAACGUUAUAUAUAUAUAUAAAUGAUUAUUAGUCCUUUGAACUUUUUAAUUUUUUUUUUUGAAUAUUUACACAUGGUGAUAGAUUCUUUUAUAUUUAUUACAUUAUAAUUAUAUUUGCAAAAGUUUACUAAAAUUAUUCUGUUAAAUUCACAUAUAUUAUAAUUUAUAAUCUUGAAUUAAACAUAGGAUGCAUGUAAGCAUUUGAAAACAUAAUGAUUAUGUUGUUCAUGUUCACAUUCAGACUAUUUGUUGUUGAAAUAUCAAAAGACAAAAAUAUGUCAUAUAUCAUAAAAAUUGCACAAGAAAAAGGAAGGACAAAUCAAUUCAAUUUAUUAUAUAUAGUUACUUUACUUUUAAAUUUUUAAUUAAUCAUUAUAUACAUGUUUAAUAUUAUCUAUAUUAAUUUAAAGGUUAGAUAGGUUGACAUUGAACAAAGGUGCAACACACGUUUUCAUAGACUAGUAUUACUAAAAGUGAGAAGCUCUAGAUACAAAAUUGAAUUUUCAUUUUACCCUUACACGAAAUAAAAAUAUUAUAAAAUAUUCAAUUUAUAAAAUAUUUAUUAAUCAAAAUAUUUUAAAGCCUUUUCACGUCAUAGAUUUAUUGCAACCUAAAGAGUGACGUGUUUAGUAAGUAAUACAUUGAUCCGUUAUUAAUUUAAUUAGUACGCAAUUAAUAAAUUUUUAAAGAAAUUAGAUAGCAAAGUCAUACUAUAAUAAUAUAAUAAUAAAAGUGGGAAGCUUCAAAUACAAAGUUGGAUUACCAUUUUACCCCUAGACUAAAUUAAAAUAUUAUAAAUAUUCAAUUAAUUAAAUGUUUAUUAAUCAAAAUAUUUUAAAGUCUUUUCACCUCCUAAAUUUAUUGCAAGCUAAAGAGUAAUGUGCAAACUGGUAAAUAUUUUUUUUUGUCAUAUUAAUAUUGCUUAAUGAAUCAGCCACAAUAAUCCCACUCCCACUCUGAGUGUAUAUAUAUAUAUAUAUAUAUAACUAAAGUAUAUAGAAGACAAGAGCAUUUUGAAUAUAAAAUGCCAUGUUAUUCUUAAAAAUUAUACAAUAUUUACUGCAUAAACAUUUUAGAACUAAAAGUAUAUUAGAAGACAAGAGCAUUUUGAAUAUAAAAUGCCAUGUUAUUCUUAAAAAUUAUACAAUAUUUACUGCAUAAACAUUUUGAACUAAAAGUAUAUAGAAGACAAGAGCAUUUUGAAUAUAAAAAUGCCAUGUUAUUCUUAAAAAAUUAUACAAUAUUUACUGCAUAAACAUUUUGAACUAAAAGUAUAUAGAAGACAAGAGCAUUUUGAAUAUAAAAAUGCCAUGUUAUUCUUAAAAAAUUAUACAAUAUUUACUGCAUAAACAUUUUCAAUAUUACAAUUUACAAUCUUAAAUAUAUUAGUGGUUCCAAUGUAUUAUAAGUAUUUAAUUAGUUUUUUGAAAAGAAAAAUUGUCAUCAAUAUUUUUUCUAAUAAAAACGAUAGUAAAAUGAUAAUAAAAAUCACACUUUAUAAUAAAAUAUUAUUAUUUUUAUCAAAUAAUAUAGUAACUUAUUUAAAUUGUCUUAAUUAACAAUACAAUAUCAUAUGCACCAAUGGUUAUUUUUACAUAAUGUCAAACAAAUAAAUUCGAAUUAAACACUUAAUUUGAUGAUAUUCUUUUCACAUUUAGAGUAGUAUAAACAUGAAAAAUAAAAUUAAAUUAUAUCUUAUUUUUAAGAUAAUAAAUAUUAUUUUUAAUUAUUUAUUUUUAAUACAUAUGAAAAAUAAAUUAACACAAAGAAAUAGAUAAUCUUUUUAUUUCACUUUAUUUGAAAAUCCGCAUUUGAUUAUGAAAAUUACAAAUAUAACUUAAAGUUGUAUUUGAAAUUUGAAAAACAUUCAAAACCUUGUUAAUACUUUAAGGGGCCGUUUGGUUACCGUAUAAGAUGCAUUUUUUUCUCAUAUAUAAAAAGUUGUAUCUGUUUUACUAUGUUUGGUAGAAAUUUUGUAUUAGGUAGAAAAACCAACAUGACUUACCAUGUUUGGUUGAUACGUUUCUCAAAAUUGUAUAAAAGUUAUUCUUGUAUUAAUUCUAUACAGUGUAUUGUUACAUUUUUUGUAAUCCUACAUAAUUGAUACCUACAUAACUUAUGAGGGAAUCUAUGUAUAAAUUAUACAUGAUAAAAGAUGGAAUAAGUUAUGAGGGUAUUAGUUAUACAUGUAUUAAAAAAACUACACAUUUAUCCCUAUUACCUUUUUAUAUUGAAAACUCUAGAUAAAACUUUACAUAACUAUUCUAUUUUCCUAGCUAUUUUUGUUUCUUAUUUCUUUUGUAUACGAACAAUUUUUUAUUUGUUUUCAUUUGAAAUCAAAAUAUAAAUAUUUUAUUAAUAUUAUGAAUCGGAAUGUAUAAUUUUGACAACGCAUAUGCUAAUCAUAUAUUAUCACCAUAUAUUACUAAAUAUAUUCCACAUAUUUAAUUAUUAUGUAUUGUUUUUUUAUUUGGAAUAUAAAUUUAUAUAUAACUCAUAUAUUUGGUAUACUAAAAAUGUACAAAUAAUACAUGCAGCAUCUUGAUAGAAAUUUACAUUAUAUAAAAUAGGAUUUUAUAAUGUACUUGAAAUAUAUUUGUGGUAUUUUAUUUUUAUAAGCUUUAAACAUUAAAAAAAAAUAGAGAGAGAAAAAAUAAAUAGAAUUCCCACUUAAGUAUAGAGAAGAUUUUUUGGAAGUUUUUUUUUUUUUUUUUUUUUUGGGAAAUUAUACGAUUUGCUUGCUUAUUUAUUUGUAAAUAAUAUAUUCAAUAAUUAAUAAUUUAUGUAUUGUAAUCUCUACAUAAUUAAGUAAUACCUACAUAACUAAUAUUUGCAUAACUAACACCAACAUAAUUAAUACCACAUAACUAAAUCCUGCAUAACUAAAUCAUGCAUUACUAAAAACUGCGUAACUCUAACCAAUAACCAAACAGCCCCUAACUAUAUUAUCCUUUUUAAAAUUUUAUCACAAAUUCUUUAUUCUUAUAAAAAUGACCCCAUUUGAAUUAUAUUUCAUAUUAGUUUAUUUAUUUAAAAAAAAAAACACAUUCAAAUAAUCAAAUAUAAUUUGCAAAAUCAAUAGCUUGACACAAGUUCAACUUCAAAAAAUUUAAAUAAAGUGAUUUUUUUUUUGUUAUAGUAUGUGGUAGUUCUUAUAUGAGAUCUAAUCUAUGACAUUAUACAACUAUCUAUUUUGAGAUAUUACUUUUUUUUAGUGCAAUUUGGUUGUACGUCUCAGGUAUAUUAGUCAAGUAAUUUUUAGAAACUGAGGAAUAUAAACCAUAUUUAGAAAAACAUAAUAUAUAAAUAUAUCUUUUAACUUGGCUUCGUCUGACAUCUAUGACAUUCAACUUAGGGAGUGCACAAGUAAGCACUUAAAAUUUUAUAAAGUUGAAGAAGUAGACACACGCGUCCUACGGGGAAUAACACACGUGGGAGCCACAUAAAAUAUCGCAUAGGACGUGAAUUAUAUUGUCACGUAGGACACAAGUGUCAACUUGUUCAAUUCUAUACAAGUUUAUGUGUCUACUUAUGGAUAUCUAAAAUUGAAGGACAUGUUAGAUGAAACAAAUUAAAUGACAUAUUUAUAUAUUAUGCCUUUAGAAAAAGUAUAUUUAAAUUCUAAAUAUUUUUUUGCAUAAAAUUUAACCAAACAUGACUUCAACUAUAAAUUUUUUAAAUAAAAUAAACAGUAUUUUUUCAUGAUCAAACCACACUAAGAAAGGAAAUGAUUAAAUGCCCUCAAAUUUGAAUUUUUGGUAUGAAAAAAUCUCAUUAAAAACUAUACAUUCAAAAAUAAAAAAGAAUUUUUUUUAAAAUGUAUCAGCUUGAAUGUACAUGGUUUUGAAGUAAAUCAAUAAAUGGGGUCCAUGUAACUUUGCAAUGAUUUCUUUUACUCCUCCCAAUGUAUUGGUACACGUGUGCCCAUUAAAAUCCACAACUAUUGACUUAGUGAUGGAUUCAUUGGGAAUUACAUAAAUUUUGGUUGGUUUUUCUGAAAAUUUUAAUACUUUAUGCACAAUGUACACUUAAACUAAGCUUGAAAUAUUUUUUGUUUGACAAAACUACCCUUGGUCGUCCAGGGCUUCACAUUUCUAUAUAAUAGAUAGAAAAAUAUAUACAUGUCAUGCUUCUUUUUUCCUUCCACAUAUUCCUCAUUUGCAUGUUAAUUUUUUUAGUUAUUAUUGAAGAUUUUUGUUUGUGCUUAUGAGUUUCAUGUUAUAUUCUUCUUUUCGGAAAAGGGCCUAAAAUACCCUCAAACUAUUGGAAAUGGUAUAAAAUUACCCUCCAUCCACCUAUUGGCUUCCAAAUUAUUUUCUUUUCCUAGUUAAGUUUGAUACUAAAAAUAAAAUUCAUAAAAUAAAUUCAUUUUCUCAUUAAGUUGUAUUAAUUUAAUAGGAUAGUGACUUAAAAUUUUAUUUUUUAGAGGUCAAUCGAAAAACAUGUAAGAAAUUGAAUUAUUUUUUAUUGAACCAUUUUCAUUUACUAUCUUGAAUAUUUUAGUAGCUUUAAAUAAAUUAUCUUAAUAAAUAACGUUCUAUCACUCUUAUAACAUGUAAAAAUUAAAAUUGAAUUUAAACCCACAUAAAAUCACAUAUACCUGCAACCCGUCCCGCAUUAGUUUUAAAAAAACCCACUUCAAUCCGCCCCGCACAACCUUAAACUGGCCAUGCAUAGCUUUAAACCCACUCCACCCCACAUGCGUCCCGCCCCAUUGUCAUCCCUAUUGAUAUCUAUCUAUUGGCUCUCAAAUACCCUUCCAUCCACCUUUGAGUCCAAUAUUGACCACUUUUAUAGUGGAUUAUCAUUUAAAAAUAAUUUUUUUAAAUGAGUGGCGACCAUCUAUUGGUUAUAAUUUAAUAACUUAAAUUAAUUUACAAACUCACUCAUUACUAAUUAUACCCGACCCAAAUUGACUACACUCAACUCAAGUUAACUAUACCCGCCCCAAAUUACAUUUACCCCACCGAUUUAAACAAAUACACCCUUCAUUCCCAACAAUUCAUGUCCUCUUCCAACCUUACAUUCCCAAUAUAUUUGCUUACAAUCUCGAAAAACUCUACCCAAGUACACUCAUGUAUCACCACAAAAAAUCAUGAGUGUUUUGGUGAUUUUUUUAUGGUGAUACAUGUGUGUAUUUAGGUAGUGUUUUUCGAGAUUGUAGGCGGAUAUAUUCGGGAAGAAGAUUGGAAGAUGAAGUGAAAUGUUGAGAAUGAACGGUGUAUUUGUUUUAAUCGGUGGGGUAAAUGUAAUUUGGGACGAGUGUAAUUAAUUAAUUUGGGUCGGGUGUAAUUAAUAAUGGGUGAGUUUGUAAAUUAAUUUAAGUAAUUUAACUGUAUCCAAUAGAUAAUCGUGUCGUUUUGAAGUUUUUAUUUAAAUGAUAAUCCGUAAUAAAAGUAGUUGAUAUUGGAUCCAAAGAUGGAUGACAUGGGUAUUUGGGAGCCAAUAAAUGGAUGAAGGGUAGUUUUGUACCAUUUUCAAUAGUUCAAGGGUAUUUUAGGCCCUUUUCCGUUUUCUUUUUUAUACUCUAUAAUAAUUAUUAUACAAUCAAUUUUUUUAGUGGAAGAAGACUUUGGUGUAGAGGAAGAAGGAGCAAAAAUAACAAUGGCCGAUCCAGUAAUUGGUGCUACUGUUCAAGUUGUGCUUGAGAAGCUGCUUUCUCUCACUAUUGCGGAGGCCAAAACUUUAAGGAACUGCAAGAAAAAUCUCAGAAUGCUCACAAAAUAUGUAUCCAUCAUCCAAGCUUUCAUUCAUGAUGCUGAAAGACGACAAGUCGAAGAUCAGGCUGUGGAAGAAUGGCUUAAGAUGCUUGAGAGAAUUGCUGAAGAUGCUGAAAAUGUGUUUGACAAAUUCACAUAUGAAUCUCUCAAAGCACAAGUGAUGAAAAACCGAGCCAAACUGAUGGAAAAAGUCCGUAGCUUCUUUUCUAAUAAUGUUUUCAAUUACAAAAUGUCUCGAAAAAUCAACAACAUCAAUGAAGAGUUGAGGGCUAUCAAUCAGUUAGCCAAUGACCUCGGUCUCCAAGCACUGACUGUUCCUUCUCACAAAAUACUACAAAUCCGAGAAACAGACUCCGUAGUAGUUGCUUCGGAUGUUGUUGGUAGAGACAAAGAUGUUGCUGAAAUAAAGGAGAAGAUUUUGAAUAUCAGAGAGGAAGUUGUUCUGUGCACCAUUCCCAUAGUGGGUAUGGGGGGGUUAGGGAAAACUACAGUGACCAAGAGAAUUUUCAAUGAUGAUCACAUCAAGCAGCACUUCGAAAAGAGAGCUUGGUUGUGCCUACCUGAAAUGUCAGAAAUUAAGAGCUUUCUUGAACUGAUCCUCGAAUCAUUGACACAGAGGAAAGUUGAGGUCCAGAGCAGAGAUAUAAUAGUCAAGAGACUACAAGAUGAAUUAGGAGGAAAAAAGUAUUUGCUGGUCCUGGAUGAUUUAUGGCGUGUUGACUCUACAUUGUGGCACGAUUUCGUGGACACCUUGAGGGGAAUAAAUACAUCCAGAGGAAACUGCAUUCUCGUGACUACUCGUAUGAAGCAGGUUGCCUCCAUAGUAGCAGCAGAUCUUCAUAUGUUGGGGAAAUUAACAGAUGAUCAUUGUUGGUCCAUUUUCAAACAUAAAGCAUUUGUUGAUGGGGAAGUUCCAAAAGAAAUGGUGAGCAUGGAAAAGAGGAUUGUUGAAAUAUGUCAAGGUCUACCGUUGGCUGCAAGUGUAUUGGGAGGCCUUUUAUGCAACAAGAAAAGACAUGAAUGGCAGGCAAUUCUUGAUGGCAAUCCCCUUGUAGGUGAAGAUGAUAAUGGGGAAAAUAGGACAAUGAAAAUCCUAAAACUCAGCUAUGAUUAUCUACCAUCCCCACAUCUGAAGAAAUGUUUUGCUUACUUUGCAAUGUUUCCAAAAGAUUUUAAGUUUAAAAAGGACCAACUAAUCCAACUCUGGAUGGCAGAAGGCUUUCUUCGUCCAUGUCAAGAGACCCCUGUGAUGGAAGACGUUGGGAACAAGUUUUUCCAACUCUUGUUGCAAUAUUCCUUGCUGCAAGAUGUUGAGCUAGAUGACCUCAAUAUUAUAAGACGUUGUAAGAUGCAUGAUCUUGUGCAUGAUUUGGCUGGAGAUGUCUUAAAAUCUAAACUAUUUGAUCCGAAGUGCGUUGUAGGAGAAAAACUUUCUCAAGUUCGAUACUUUGGAUGGGACUCACCAAGUGAUCAAAUAGAUAAGAUAUAUGAGCCAGGACAUUUGUGCACAUUGUUCUGGAAAACAAAUAUAUCUGAAGAUAUGCUGUUGAACUUUCAGUUCUUGAGGGUUUUAAAUUUGUCCAGGUCAGGCAUCAAGAAGGUGUCAGCCAAAAUCGGCAAGCUUAUAUACUUGAGAUAUCUUGAUCUCUCCGACACCAUGAUCAAAGUCUUACCCAAUUCCAUUUGCAAGCUCUACAAUUUACAGACAUUUAGUGUCCAUAAUUGUUCUUCACUCAUGAAGCUUCCAAAAGGAAUGGCAAAUAUGAUAAGUUUGAGACACAUAUGUUGCGGCCAUCAUUACCAAUCAGCUUUUUGUUUUGGUGGUUGCGGAUCAAGGUACCAAGGUAGUGAUCAGUUUCAGAUGCCACUUAAUAUGGGGCAAUUGACUAGUCUUCAAACACUAGAGUUUUUCAACGUAGGUUUAGAGAAAGGUCGUCAAAUAAAAGAAUUAGGUCGUUUGAAAAACCUUAGAGGUGCAUUGAUAAUCGGCUGUCUCCAAUUAGUCGGAAAUAAAGAAGACGCUCGAACAGCAUAUUUACAGGAGAAACCAAAUAUCUACAGGCUGGCAUAUUUGUGGUCCCAUGAUGAAUCAGAAGGCAGUGAGAUCAAUGAUGAACAUGUGUUGGAUGGUCUUCAACCGCAUCCUAACUUGAAAACCUUAGUAGUUGAGAACUAUUUGGGGACUAUAUUACCUUCAUGGUUCAGUGAAGAAUUGCUGCCAAAUUUGGUCAAGUUGAAAUUAAGUGAUUGCAAAAGGUGCAAAGAAAUUCCAUCCCUUGGACAACUGAAGUUCCUUCGGAAUCUUGAACUGACAGGAUUCCUUGAAUUGGAAUGCAUCGGACCUACAUUUUACGGUGUUGAUGUUAAUGAUAAUAGAUCAAGCAGCAAUAAUGGCAAUAUCCAAGUGUUCCCGUCAUUGAAAGAACUACUGUUGAAGGAUAUGCGUAGCCUUAUUGAGUGGAAGGGAGAUGAAGUUGGAGUAAGAAUGUUUCCUGGGCUUGAGAAGUUGACGAUUACAGACUGUUCACUGUUAAAAAGUACUCCUACUCAAUUUGAAAUCCUGCGUGAAUUAAGAAUUGAAGGAGUUGACAGUGAAAUGCCAUUGUUGAACUUGUGCAGCAACUUGACAUCUCUUGUGAAGCUUGAUGUUUCUAAAGUGAAAGAGCUCACUUGUCUUCCAGAUGAGAUGCUACGCACUAACGAUUCUCUUCAACACCUGUGGGUCACAAACUGCGGAAAGUUUCAUGAAUUGCCACAAAGCUUGUACAAUCUCCAUUCUCUUAAGAGAUUACAAAUACGCAGCUGCAAAAAUUUCAGUUCUUUUCCUGUUCCCAAUGGAGAGAAUUAUUUGACUUCCCUCCAAUGUCUUCAGUUAGUUUCUUGUGAUGGAUUGACCAGUUUACCAAGUGGAAUGCUAGACAAUUGCCGGUCUCUACAAAAUUUGAGGGUCAGCUACUGUAACAACGUAGUUUCCUUGCCUUUACAUGUGUGGGAAAUGCCUUCACUUUCAGAUUUGAAUAUAUCACGUUGUCCCAAAUUGAUUAGUGUACCCACAGGGGGCCUACACCGCCUCACCGGAUUAGGGAGAUUGGGAAUUGGUCCUUUCUCAGAGAUGGUGGAUUUUGAGGCAUUCCAAUUGAUUUUUAAUGACAUUCAGCAGCUGUUGUCCCUUCCUACAUUGUUUGUGUACGGACGUUUGCACUGGGAUUCUCUGCCCAAUCAGCUUAUGCAACUCUCUGCCCUAAAAGAGAUCUAUAUAUUUGAUUUUGGAAUCGAGGUUCUUCCGCAUAGUCUUUGCAAUCUUACUUCUCUUGAAAGAUUACAUCUAGAGAUGUGCAAUCGGCUACAACAUGUGGACUUCUUAGAUUCCAUCCCAAAAUUACGGGAUCUCUGGAUCCAAGAUUGUCCAUUGUUAGAAGUUCUGUCGGAUGGGCUCGGCAACCUUGGCUCUUUGGAAAAAGUAAGUUUGAUGGUGUGCAAGAAACUAGAGCGUCUGCCAUCCAGAGAUGUCAUGCAACGCCUCACCAAAUUAAGGAUCCUGGAUAUUUAUGACUGCCCACAGUUAGAAGAAAGUUGCACCAAUAGGAGAAGCCCAAACUCCCAGUGGUCCAACAUUUCCCAUAUUCCAAAAAUUAUAGUAGGUCUGUGGGUAAUUCAGGAGUCAGGACAGUAAGUCUCUGUUACUCUUUCAGUUUCUGAGUUUUAAUACUACUUUUUUUACUGCUAUCAAUUACAUCUGUGCUAUGCUUCCAGCAUUUUGCUUGUCAACUUGAACCGAAUUGUUCUUCUUCUAAUUCUUCAAGUAUGUCAUAUCUCCAUAUGAUUUAAUCAUGAAUGAAAAAUUAUGGAUUUUUUCCUUAUAGGUUACUAGCUCCAAGGUAACGUUGCUGUGGUAAAUCAAGCCAAAUCCUAUGAGCAGCAGGCAAUUACUUUAGGUAAAUUUUCAUUUAGGUAAUCUACUAGUUUUUUGUCUUUCUCUUUGUUGGGGACCAAUUUUUGGAGUUCUAUGCUGAUGAAUACAACAUUACCUUCCUAAAAAAGAUGUUUUAAUCAUGAAAAUUUAUGUUUCUGCUCAGAGGUUACUAGGUACAAGGUCAUGGUAGAACGUGGUUGUGGUAUAUCAAGUCAAAAUCCAUGAACAGCAAUCGCCUUAGGUAUUUUUAUUUAGUUGUUAUAGGAAUGCUAUAACAAGUUUGUCAAGUUCCUUUUUUCUCAUGAUACUACUUUACUGUUUAACAGGAUUUGUUAUGUUUCAUAGAGGAAUCACCACUGUUAUUUUGAAGAACACAAUCUUCAGCUAUAGACUCAUUACGGAGCACUUUUUCACAAGUAUUUGGGUACUGAACAAC
rnacentral:lncRNA from 1 species